CCAUUACAAAUUAUCCCCUCAUCAGAUAUUUCGUUAAAAUUCAUUCUGAAACACUAAAACUAAAUAAUUGAAUAUGGCUUUGCGGGUCGAUGAUGCCAGCAGCAAUGAGACUGCAAUUAUCACUUGUUUAGUUUCUGUGCUUGCCGUGGUUUACUUCGCAUGGAAUGUGAAAAAAUCAAGGAAAGCAAAUGCUAAACUUCCACCAGGACCUCGCGGCUUGCCUGUAGUCGGAUACCUCCCAUUUCUCGGAACUACUGACUUGCACAAGAAAUUCACGGAAUUAUCCGGAGUUUAUGGUCCGAUCUUCAAGCUCUGGCUCGGAAACAAAUUAUGUGUCGUGGCGAGCUCACCUUCCCUAGUUAAACAAGUGGUUCGAGAUCAAGAUACAACAUUCGCCAACCGUGACCCGCCGAUCGCUGUACUAGCGUUCACCUAUGGUGGCAAUGAUAUUGCAUGGUCCAAUUACGGUCCCGAAUGGAGAAAUUUGCGCAAAGCUUUUGUGGGCAAGAUGAUGAGUAACGCAAGCCUUGAUGCUUGUUAUGCUCUAAGAAAACAAGAGGUUAAAAAUACUAUCAGGGAUUUGUACAACAACGACAACAAAAUUGGUAAGCCCAUCGACAUUGGUGAAUUGUCAAUUUCAACCUUGGUAUGUGUUAUUCAGAACAUGCUGUGGGGUGAAGCGCUUGAAACAAGAGAGGAAGGGAUCACUAAUCUUGGGGCUGAGCUAAAAUUUAAGCUGGCAGAACUCAUGGUCCUAAUGGGAACACCGAAUAUUUCGGACGUCUUUCCAGUGCUUUCAUGGUUUGAUAUACAAGGUAUAGAGAGGAAAGCAAAGAAGAUUUCACUCUGGUUUGAAAAUAUUAUAAAUUCUACUGUUGAAAAGUAUAGAAGCAAGGACUUUAUUGUUGAAGGUAAAGAAAGAGCAGGGGAAAAUUUUGAAGGAUCAAGGAACAAGAACUUCUUGCAGUUACUAUUGGAGCUUCAAGAAAAUGAAGACGGUUCUUCCUCAAUUAGCAUGAACCAAUUUAAGGGCGUGCUCGCGGUAUGUUAAGCAACUAGCCACGAACAGUUAUACAAGCACAGUUGUAUAUUUGCAUGAGUGACGCUUCUCAACUUUUUUUAAUUUUUUAAAUUAAAGUUUUAUUGUAAUCUUUUGAACAGGAUAUAAUUACGGGUGGAACCGACACCACAACUACGAUGGUGGAAUGGACAAUGGCAGAGUUGAUGCAGCAUCCACAAGUAAUGAAGAAAGUUCAGGAAGAAUUAGCUCAAGUUGUGGGCAUGGACAGUUGUGUUGAAGAAUUUCAUUUGCCUAAACUGAAAUAUUUAGAUGCUGUGGUGAAAGAAUCGUUUCGUCUGCAUCCUGCAGUGCCUUUAUUAGUACCACGCAGAGCAAGCGAGAGUGGCAGCAUUGGUGGCUAUACCAUUCCCAAAGAUACAACUCUUAUGUUGAAUGUUUGGGCUAUCCACAGGGACCCUCAACUUUGGGAUAAUCCCUUAGAAUUUCGACCCGAGAGGUUUCUGAAUGUUGGUGUCGAGAGUAAGUUCGAUUACUCAGGUAACAAUUUUCAGUACUUACCUUUUGGUUCUGGUAGAAGAAUGUGUGCUGGGAUUCCUCUAGCUGAGAGGAUGCUGAUGUUUGUUUUGGCUUCGUUAUUGCACUCAUUUGAGUGGGAAUUGCCAGCUGGCACAAAGCUAAAUUUAUCUGAAAAAUUUGGGUUUGUCAUUAAGAAAAAAGAGCCUUUGGUUGCUAUUCCAACACCAAGACUAUCCAAUUCAGAGCUUUACCAUUAAAACAGAAUGAUUGUGAUGAUUUUGUUAGUAUCGGAAGAUUUGUAUGUUAUUUCAAGUUCAAUCGUAAUAAAAUAUUUUAAUAAAAGUCCUCCGUUGCUAAUUUUUUUUUUCAACGGCAUAAUCUGUCAUCAUGCUUGUGUUUGGAGCUACUUUGGAAUGAUUAUUUUUGAAUUACAAUUUAUAAAUAUUUAGGUUUUAAAUUUUUUAUAAGAGUCUAAAUUUAUACACGUUCAGUAAAAGAUUCCCUAAAAGCUUUACAAUUCAAAAUUCUAUUAAAAGUAUAGAUGAAACUUUUAUACCUACUAAUUUUUUGGUCUAUUCUACAAGUUUAAAGAGGAGAUAUUUCUAGAGCUAGCAAAAAGAGCUACCUGAUUGUUUUCGCGUUAUGUCAAUUUUUUUAUUGUGUUAAAUUUAAUUUGACCCACAUAUGACCCAUUUAAUAAUCGUGUCAAAAUAUUGAAACUUGAACUUGAUACGGAAAAUAAAUGGAUGACCACACACACCCAUUUAAGAAUUAGGUAACUAUGUCACUUAAUACGACAUAACCCAAUAACUCGUUUAAUACAUAUUUAACAUAAUUUACAUUGUACAUUGUACACCCUUUUGUCAUAAAUUACACUAUUUUAUAUUUCUAAAUAAUAUUAUAUAUUGAUAUUAUAAAAAAAUAUCAAUAAUCUCAAAAUUUGUACACCUCCUAACUUUUAAAAAGAAAUAAAAAAACUAAUUAAUUAAUGUUUAUUUUAUUCAUUAAUAUAUCAUAAUCCUACAUGUAUUUUAUUUGUUAUUUUUUUUAUUUAAAAAGAUAGGAGGGUGGAUGAAACUCAAAUAAAUUUUUAGCCUAUCCUGAUCUUUCAAGUUUCUUAUUUAGGAGGCCAGUUAAAAAAAAUUACUUAGAAAGCUACUCCAUCAAUUUAACAAAUUUUAUUUAUUUAAUUAAUGGAGGUGUAGAAAAUAAAAGUAUCUGCAAGCACAUUGCAAUAGUGAAAGCAAUGUACCGGUGUUGCAACAUAACUGAAUCUUGAUAACCUAUCACAUAUUUUAAGUUUUAAUAUUGGUAGUUCACGGAUCGGUUUCUACUUCCACGAACAAUUAUUGAAGGAAAUGAGUUUUUUUUUUAAUGAAUAUUUAUAGACCCCGAUUAAAUAUUCGAAUAUAUAAUAAAAGAGAAACUGACAUAGAAAUGAGAAAGAUAUUUGGAGGAGGCCAAAAAAAAAAAAAAAAAUGCAACAGAGAAUUAGAUCAGCAACACAAGUAACUAAUUAAUUCAUCUAUACAUCAUAAUCCUAUUUGUAUCUUCUUCCUUCUACUAAUUUACAUAUAAAUUUGGUUAGAUAAAACAUAUUUUAAUACUCGGUCACAAGCGGUGGAUAUAGAAAAUUAAUUUAGAGGGGGUAAUACCAUAACGAAAAAUAAUGAUUCAUAACUAAAAUCAACCCCAACAUCAAAACUUAUUUACAAGAUUACGCCCAGUCAAAGGUAAUUUUUCCUAAAAACUAAUACGAAAUUAAAUAAAUUUAACUUUUAGUGGGUUCAAGUGCCCACGCAUUCUGAACGUAGAUCCACCCCUGGCCCCGACUGAAGCAUUUUUUACAAUAUGUACUCAGUUUAUCAACAGGAACAACCUUCCACUUUAAAUUAAAAUUUUCACUUAAAAAUGAUUAAUGUUAAUGAGGUUAGCAACAAAAAUGAGUUUAAUUAGAGAAUAUUAUAAGAGAAAUUAUAUUUUUUGACUUUUAAUAAAUUAAAAUAUUAUUAGUUGGUGGUGGUUUCACGUCAGAUUAAGACGUGACACUUUACUUAUGAGGUCGAGACAAUCGACUUAAACUAUUUCAAUGCAUUUGAAAUUUGCACUAAUGGCUAUCAUUCUUUGUCCAAAUUAAUACGAUAAUUAAUAACAUACAAUUGAAAUAAUUAAUACUAGCACUUGGCAAUAAAUAAAGCUCUUGUGCUUGAAUCGUCACACAUGAUCACUUCAUUCCUUUAUUUACUUUGCUACCACAAAUUUUGAGGCAUUAUAACUAAAUAAUAAUUGAAUAGGGCUUUGUGUUACUUGUUGUGCGCGCGGAAUGCGGAAUCAAGCACACCAAAUUAUUACAGAAAAAUAAAGGACACAAUUAUUUGACGUGGUUCGGUAAUUAAACUUACAUCCACGGAGGCAAGAAAGAAUAAUUGUUUAUUUAACAAUUAAUAGAGUACAAAUAUUUGAGUAACGAAUCUCACUUCUCAGAAACCUAAAUAUACCCAAUACUCUCACACUCUGCAGGAAAGAUAAAUUAUCCAAACACACUUCUCUCACUUCUCUAAAAAACUUAAAAAUUUAAAAACUUAACAAUUUUGGAAUGCUUUAGAAUAGAAGAAGUGCCAUCUUAUAGGAAAAAUAAUGAUACUAUUGCACCAACCUCUUUACUAUUCCACCUAACAUAAGCAAAUUGUCAAUAGUGUCCAUUUAACUUUUUAUUUUUUUUCUUCAAUUGUUUAGUAGCCCUUUAAAAAUCUGCGUGGUUUCUUGAAAUUUAGAUGCCACAUGCAUGACUUUUCAACACUAAUUACUACGAUAAUUAAUAUUAGCACUUGGCAAUAAAUAAAGCUCUUGUGCUUGAAUCGUCACACACGAUCACUUCAUUCCUUUAUUUGCUUUGCUACCACAGAUUUUGAGGCAUUAAAACUAAAUAAUAAUUGAAUAUGGCUUUGUGCGUCGAUGACGCCAGCAACAAGGGGACCACAAUUAUCACUUUUUAAGUUGCUUUUAAAAUUGAUUUUAAUAGUGAUUUGAUUAUUGUAGUGUUUUUAUUUUUAUAUUAAAAUUAAGUCGAUUUGUUAUAAUAAACUUAGUUGAGUUUAAUGGUAUUACUACAUAAAUUGAAUAGUCAUCAAAUAUUUUAAUGUUUUUAUGGCAAGUGUUGACGUGGCAUUUAUUUGUUGUAUGAUGGAUUUUAAAAUUUAUAAAAUUAUUUGUUAUUAAAUUACCCCCAGAUGCUGCAUCACCUGAAACUUAAUAAAGGGCAUGUAGCAUUGCCAUUACUCAACAUUCACUCUUAUGACUUUAUGACAUUAGAAUUAAAAUCUUUCGUACAUUUAAUUUGUUUGCUUCCAGAUUAAUCUUUAAAAAUAUUUUUUUCACAUUAUCAUGAAUGGACAAAACUCCAACGAAAAUAACUACGCAAGAGCAAUCUAUGCUAGUAUUAUAUGCCACGAUAUCUAUAACUUUGUCAGGUCUCAGGAUCGAUCAUUCUAAUUUUUACGCAGAACUUUUAAUCAAUGGACAAACACCUCACCGAGCUUGUCGGCAGCAUUACUACGAUGUAAAAUUGUACCGGAAUAUCUUGAAGUAUUAGUAGAAUAAUGAAGACUAUUUGGAGCAAUAAAAACAAAUAACGCAGAUAAAAAAAAUGGCUAAAAUUAUGUAAGUGAGCCCCAAAGUUUUUGCUAUUUCCAGGAAAUCCCAAAUUUGAAUGGACUAGAGGGAGGCACGUAAGAAAUACAUUUUCUUCCUAGACAAUGACAGCUAUGACAUCAAGCCACGUAUUGAAAUUAAGGUGUAAUUAUUCAGCCAAUGAGCCUUACACACCAAGAUGUAUAAAAGUCAAGAAAAUGAAAUUUUAUCCCAAUUAAAACACUUUCUGGCUGCAAUUGGCUGUUUCCAUUUGAAGUUAAAAAACAACAACGUUUCUUUCGUUUUGUGGGCGAUUCGAUUGAGCACGCGCCACGAGCUAGCUGGCUUCCAGUGCUUGCGUGUGACAAUAGAAGGCUAGUGAUUUCACUUUCGCUUUUUUUUUUUUUUCUUUUUUUUGGGGAAUCAAGAUAAAAGCCAAGAAAAUGAAAAUUGGGCUGUUUCCAUUUGAAGUUAAAAACAGUGUUUCUUUCGGGGCGUCAAUUUGAUAUUUGAAUGGACAGGCAAGUAAGAAAUACAAUUCCUUCAUAGACAAUGACAACGAGGACAUCAAGGCACAUCAUUAUAGUUUGUAGCCCAUCUACAUUUAAACGAUUAAUAAACAAGCUUAGGUGUGCCACUGCUAUUAUUAAUUAUCCCCUGAUCAUUAUAGUUUCUGAAACAGUAAAACAAAACGAAAUUGAAUACAUCAACGAGAUCGCAAUUAUCACUUGUUUAGUUGCGGUAUUUAACUUAAUUUUAAUCUAAUAUAUUUGUUAGUUAAACUUUUAAUAAUCAAAUAAUUUUGACUUAAAAAUAAAAUUAUAGAAAUUAUUAAUUAUUAAAAAUUCACACAUAGCUAUUGUUUUCUCUAUAUAUUGCAGUGUGUACGAUAUUGAGGGUUGAAGCCCAAAGCAUGCCCUAAAAUCCAGAUAAUAAUUAGAUCCGGGCCAAAUAUUCAUCAUUGUGUCGGCUGAUCAGUCGGUGGACAUCUCUAUUGAAAAAAUCUCUGACAUUUCUCUCGACAAACUUAUUACUAAAAAAAAAUCAGUGGUUUUGCCGUCUGAAUAAUGUAGAAAAAUUUGUCUGUGCAUUAAUCUAGAUGUUUGAGGUGAUUUAUACAUCUGUGAUAAAGAUUUAUAGGUUGACUUAUACGUCUGUGGUAUAGAUUUUAUGUAUUUCAUUACAAAAUGCUGGCCGUUAGAACCCUUUCUACAUCUAUUUAUAAGAUUAACGGGUGCCAGUUAUGCCAUUACAAAUUAUCCCCUCAUCAGAUAUUUCGUUAAAAUUCAUUCUGAAACACUAAAACUAAAUAAUCGAACAUGGCUUUGCGGGUCGAUGAUGCCAGAAGCAAUUCGACUGCAAUUAUCACUUGUUUAGUUUCUGUGCUUGCCGUGGUUUACUUGGCAUGGAAUGUGAAAAAAUCAAGGAAAGCAAAUGCUAAACUGCCACCAGGACCUCCCGGCUUGCCUGUAGUCGGAUACCUCCCAUUUCUCGGAACUACUGACUUGCACAAGAAAUUCACGGAAUUAUCCGGAGUUUACGGUCCGAUCUUCAAGCUCUGGCUCGGAAAUAAAUUAUGUGUAGUGGUGAGCUCACCUUCCCUAAUUAGACAAGUGGUUCGUGAUCAAGAUACAACAUUCGCGAACCGUGACCCACCGAAGGCUGCACUAGUGGUCUCCUAUGGUGGCAAUGAUAUUGCAUGGUCCAAUUACGGUCCCGAAUGGAGAAAGUUGCGCAAAUUUUUUGUGGGCAAGAUGAUGAGUAACGCAAGCCUUGAUGCUUGUUAUGCUCUAAGAAAACAAGAGGUUAAAAAUACUAUCAGGGAUUUGUAUAACAACGACAACAAAAUUGGCAAGCCCAUUGACAUUGGUGAAUUGUCGUUUUCAACAUUGGUAUGUGCUAUACAGAACAUGCUGUGGGGUGAAGCGCUUGAAAUAAGAGAGAAAGGGACCACUAAUCUUGGGGCUGGGCUAAAAUUUAAGCUGGCAGAACUCAUGGUGCUUGCGGGAACACCGAAUAUUUCGGAUGUCUUUCCAAUGCUUUCAUGGCUUGACAUACAAGGUAUAGAGAGGAGAGCAAAGAAGAUUUCACUCUGGCUUGAAAAUGUUAUAAAUUCUACUGUUGAACAGCAUAGAAACAAGGAGUCAACUGUUGAAGGUGAAGAAAGAGCGGGGAAAAAUUUUGAAGGAUCAAGGAACAAGAACUUCUUGCAGUUACUAUUGGAGCUUCAAGAAAAUGAUGACAGUGCUUCCUCAAUUAGCAUGAACCAAUUCAAGGCCGUACUCAUGGUAUGUUAAGUAACUAGCAACGAACAGUUAUACAAGCACAGUUGUAUAUUUGCAUGAGUGAUAUUUUCAACCUUUUUUUUUAAUUAGAAUUUUAUUGUCACCUUUUGGACAGGAUAUAAUUACGGCUGGAACCGACACCACAGCUACGAUGGUGGAAUGGACAAUGGCAGAGUUGAUGCAGCAUCCACAAGUAAUGAAGAACGUUCAGGAAGAAUUAGCUCAAGUUGUGGGCAUGGACAGUUGUGUUGAAGAAUUUCACCUGUCUAGAUUAAAGUAUUUAGAUGCUGUGGUGAAGGAAACAUUUCGUCUGCAUCCUGCAGUGCCUUUAUUAGUACCACGCAGAGCAAGCGAGAGUGGCAGCAUUGGUGGCUAUACCAUUCCCAAAGAUACAACUCUUAUGUUGAAUGUUUGGGCUAUCCACAGGGACCCUCACCUUUGGGAUAAUCCCUUAGAAUUUCGACCCGAGAGGUUUCUGAAUGUUGGUGUCGAGAGUAAGUUCGAUUACUCAGGUAACAAUUUUCAGUACUUGCCAUUUGGUUCUGGUAGAAGAAUGUGUGCUGGGAUUCCUCUAGCUGAGAGGAUGCUGAUGUUUGUUUUGGCUUCGUUAUUGCACUCAUUUGAGUGGGAAUUGCCAGCUGGCACAAAGCUAAACUUAUCUGAAAAAUUUGGGAUUGUCAUUAAGAAAAAAGAGCCUUUGGUUGCUAUUCCAACACCAAGACUAUCCAAUUCAGAGCUCUACCAUUAAGACAAAAUGGUUGUGAUGAUUUUGUUAAUUUUCCGAAGAUUUGUAUGUUAUUUAGUUCAAUCGUAAUAAAAUAUUUCAAAUAAGAGUCCUCCGUUGCUUUUUUUUUUUUUUUUUUUUCAACGGCAUAAUCUGUCGUCAUGCUUGUAUUUGGAGCUACUUUGGAAUAAUUAUGUUUGAAUUACAAUUUAUAAAUAUUUACGUUUUAAAUUUUUUAUAAGAGUCUAAAUUUAUACACGUUUAAUAUCCCGCUUCAUAGAUAUUUAACACAAUUUAUAUCAUACAUUGUAUACCCAUUUGUCAUAAAUUAUACUAUUUUGUAUCUCUAAAUAAUAUUACGUAUUGAUAUUAUAAUAUAUAUAUAUAUGUUUAUCAAAAGACUAUACCAUUCAAUAUAUAUUGAAAAGAGAACAAAGAAGAUUUUCUUAUGGUUUAAAAAUAUUAUGAAUUCUGCUGUUGAACAGUAUGGAAACAAGGUCUCUGUUGUUAAAGGUGAAGAAGCAACAGGGAACAAUAUUGAAGGAAGAAAUUUCACAUGUUUAGUUGCUGAAUUUGCCGCUGUAUUCUAUCGGUAGUAGAGUUUUUAUUUUUCUCUAUUAAUUUAAGUCAAUUUUCUAUAACAAAUUCGGUUGAGUUUAAUUGUGUUAUAAUAUAAAUUGAAUGAUAAUAGAAUUUUCAACAAAUAUUUCAAUAUUUCUAUCUCGAUUGUUGAAGUGCCAUUUAUUUGUUAUGCGAUCGAUUUUAAAAUUUAUAAAAUUAUUUGUUACUAAAUUGCAUCAUAUGCUAAAAUCACCUGAAACCUAAUUCCAUAACUAACCCUUUAUUUUUAGUUCUCAAGAAAUCUUGUAAGAACAAAAAUCUUUUAUAACAAAACUUUUACAACACAUUAAUUUGUAACUCAUUCCUGUGCGCGAAUCACUCUCAAUUUCCUUCAAUUGCUGUUUAACAAUCAUCUACUUAUCAAAAUUCAAGCAUAAUCUUUUUUUUUUAAUUUCUUCAUCAUUCUUUAAAAAAAAAAUCAGGAUAUGCUGUUAAAUUUUGAAAUAAAUAAAUUAACCAAAGUUGGUUGAUGUGAGUGGUUCAAUGAUGAGCAUAAUUUAUAUACAUAUUUUACCUUUAAUUAUAUAAUUAUUAGUUAUUUUUAUUAGUUAUUUUUAAUUAAUUGAAUUAUUUUAUUGCAUAGAGAAUUAAUUGGAGAUUGGGAAACAAAAAGUGCAUAAAGAAUAACAAGUUUGGGAAAGCAUCAAUCAAAGCCGUGACGCAAUUAAGAGUUUAUAGCAUAUGAAGCCAAGAGUAAUUUGCACUCAAAAAGAAUUUCAAUUAUUCAAGUGACCUGGACCUGCAUGGCAUUGUAAUGCAUGGAAAGCAACUUAAAGGGGCCCACACUUGGCUUUUACAAUUGGAAAAAGGAAUCCUAGUGCAAGCUUAAUUGAUGAGCACGUGAGUGAGAGCAAAGAAAAUUAAAAGGCCAAGCCUUUUGGCUUAAGGAAAUAACAAGGUCGGUGGGGCCCAUUUUAAAGAGUAAUAUAAAAGCAAGCUUUUGGCUUUUGGAGAGAGGAGCCGCGAGAGGAGGAAAACGCAAGACAAAGAGAAGAAAAUCUGCAGCAGUUCGGCUUCUAUGGUUGGUUUUAUCUCUUUUGUUACUCUUAAUUCAAAUAUGUCUAGUUAAUUUUCUUAUAUUAAAGUUAAGGAUGAAACCCUAUUCAAUGAAAUAAUUAUCUUUUUAUUUAUUUAAUUCCCAUAUAUGUUCUUUAAUGAUUAUGAUUUUUAUUUCACAUGAUUAAUUGGAUGUUAUUAAAAUUUUUUCAUCAAUUCUGUCAUGCAUUAUUGAUUGUUAGGAUUAAUAUUCAAUUAAAUCUAUACUUAGAUUUAUAACGUUUAUACAUGAUUAUCUUUGAUUCUAUGUCUUUCAUUAAAUUGUUUACAUGGAGUGCUUAGGAAAACUUUGACUCUUUGUUAUUCAAUAUGUUCACAUGGGAUACUUAGAUGUCAUACUAUUAAGCGGAAAAAGAACCUAUAUUAGAUUUAAUUAUUUGGGCUUAAUUGUUAUAUCCAUGAGAUGACACAAAUUGAUUUCGAGUUGUCACUCUAAAAUUAGAGAUUAAUGAAUAUUUAGAUAAUUACUAGUUGAAUAGCGGUGGAUUCUGAAACCUUGGUAAUUUCUAUCUUAUUGAAUUCUCCUUUACUUUAAUUGUUUUCUUAGUUUAAUUAAUUUAAUUUCUUUUAAAACUCAAUUUGCUUAACUAGGUUAGAAUUAAUAUUAAUUUUAGAUUUAAAUUAGACUUUUCAAUUUAUAACAAUCCAUGUGGGAUCGACCUCGUUACCACUACUUUAUUUCUAGAUUCGUGCACUUGCGAGUAUAUUAAAAUUUUCACAACAAGUUUUUGGCGCCGUUGCCGGGGAUUGUGCCAGAAAGUCAGUUUAAUCUAGGUUGAUUUGAUUCUUCCACUAGUUAUAAUUUAUGUUGUCUUUUAUUUUAUUAUUAUUUUUAAUUAACAAAAACACACAAAAAAACUUUUAUUUUUCUUUAAAUUCAUUGUUUGGUUGUUUGAUUUCUUUUAUUUUUUAAAUUUUGUUUAUUCUCAUUAUUGUUGGUUUAUUUUAUUUUAUUUUUUUCUUUCCUUGUCUAGUUAGUUUAUGAGUGUUUGGGAAUGUGAUUCAACAAAUCGUUUGGUAAAAGAGAGUCAAAAAUUGAUAGUAGUCAAGUUAGUUCUUCUGAAGUCAUGGAUGACCCAAAUAGAUUAUUGCCAAUACUUCCACCAGUGCAAGCAGAGAAAACCCUUAGAGAAUAUUUUUCACCACUUGCAGCCAACCAACCAUCUUGUAUUGUGUUGCCACAAACUACAGCAACACACUUUGAACUUUUUGAACUUAAGCCCUCAGUCAUCCAACUUUUACCAUCUUUCCAUGGGUUAGAGAGAGAGGAUCCAUAUUUGCACAUUAAGGAAUUUCUUGACAUAUGCUCUACAUUCCGUUUUCAAAAUUUUAAUGAUGAGUUAAUCAGGCUUCGUAUGUUAUCUUUCUCAUUAAAAGACAAAGCAAAAGCUUGGUUGAAUUCGCUUUCUGCUGGGUCUAUAACUACGUGGGAUGAAUUGAAUAAUAAGUUCCUCACCAAGUUUUUCCCUAUGUCUAAAACAAAUGCCCUUAGGAGAGAGAUAAGUGAUUUCUAUUAAAGAGAGGGUGAGCAAUUUUAUGAGUGUUGGGAAAGAUUCAAUGAUUUACUCCUCAAGUGCCCCCACCAUGGUUUUGAGAAAUGGAGACUUAUACAAUGCUUUUAUAACGGUUUAACCAUGUCGAAUCGUCAUAUGGUAGAGUCUAUGAAUGGUGGGAGAUUUUUGAACCUACAUGAAGGGGCUGCAUGGGAUUUCUUUAAUUCACUUUCUGAGAAUUCUCAACAGUGAGAUUUUUCAAGCCAAAGGGAAAAAUCAUCUCAAGUUUCUAGAAAGGGGUUAUAUGAAGUUAAGGAUGAUUUUGAUGUGAAAUCCACUCUAAUUACACUUUCUAGAAAAGUAGAUGCCUUAGCUCUGAACCAAUCAAUGAAUCAUCAUCCUAGUGUAGCUAAUGAGGUUUGUGCUAUUUGUUCUAACUUGUCUCAAACAGCACAAAACUGUCCAUCAUUACCAGUCUAUCCAGAGGCUUAUUCUGAGCAGGUACAUGCCUUACAAUCAUAUGAGAAAACCUCCAAUAAUACAUAUUCACUCACAUAUAAUCCUAAUUGGAGGAAUCACCCUAAUUUUUCUUGGAAACAAAAUCAAUCUUUGUCAAACCAAGGAGGACAACAAUUUAACAUGCCCAAUCAACAAUUUGUCCCUCCUAACCAAGUAUAUCCUCCUGCCCAACAACCUAUAUCUCAAUUUGUUACACCCCAACAAAGAAAACCUUCUUUAGAGGAUACACUUCAAAGUUUCAUUCAGUCAACCUAAUAAGCUUUUCAGUCAAACACUCAAGCUAUUCUAAAGCUUGAACAUCAAUUGGGUCAAUUAGCAACUACUGUAGCGGAGAAAGAAAAAAGAAAAUUCCCCAGUCAAUCAAUUCCUAAUCCUAAAGGAGUGCAUGAAGUUGGAUCGAGUUCAAGCCAUCAGCAUGAAGAAGCAAAAUCAAUUAUGACCUUGAGAAGAGGAAAAUUGUUUGACAACAAAGUGGAGGUUCAAACAAAGAAGACAUCUGAGCCUACUUCUUCAGAUCCAAUUACAUCACAAGAAUCAUCACCAAAUGAUCUUGAAGAGAGUGACCCGCUAGCUUACAUUCCCAAGGCUCAUUUUCCUCAAAGGUUAACAAAGGUAAAGAAAGGGACUUCAACAUGUGAGAUUAUAGAAAUCUUCAAGCAGGUAAGUAUAAACAUCCAUUUACUCGAUGCUAUUAAGCAAGUUCCUUCCUAUGCCAAGUUUUUGAAAGAUUUAUGCACUAAAAAGAGAAAUUUGCAUGUCACUAAAAAGGCGUUUUUAACUGAACAAACUAGCAAUUUACUUCAAUGUAAAAUGCCACCAAAAUUUAAGGAUCCUGGUUCUCCUACUAUUUCAUGUGUUAUAGGGAACCAAUGUUUUGAUAAAGCAUUAUUGGAUUUAGGUGCUAGUGUUAAUCUCUUACCUUAUUCCAUUUACAUGCAGCUUGGACUAGGUGAGUUAAAAUCAACUCCUAUUAUUUUGCAACUUGCUGAUAGGUCAAUGAAAAUACCUCGUGGUAUUAUAGAGGAUGUGUUGAUACAGAUUGACAAAUUUUAUUAUCCUGUUGAUUUUAUUGUUAUUGAUACUCAACAUGUACAUGAUCUUAAGAAACACACUCCACUUAUUCUUGGUCGUCCUUUCUUAGCUACAGCUGAUGCUCAUAUUAGUUGCAGGACUUGAAACAUGCAAUUGUCUUUUGGUAACAUGACCAUGGAAUUAAAUAUUUUUAAUGUUCCCAAGCAGGCACAAGAAGAUGAUGAAGUCGUUGAAGUAGAUAUGAUAGAAGCAUCAAUUGAUGACUCACUUAUUUCUAACCAUUGUGACAAUCCAUUAAUACCUUGCACAACUGACUCUGAUUUCUCUAUUGAUGUUGAUAGUGAUAUUGAAGAAGUUAAUGCUUUACUUGAUUCGACUCUUAUCAUAGAUCUAAUUAAGUGGAAAGAAAAGAUAAGAUUGAGCCACUUCCUCCUGAAGAGAAAAGUGCAACAUAGGUCACAUUCUGACAUAAAAAAGGUGGUAAGAUCUAAAACGCUUAAAUUAUUAGAUUUUUAUACUACUUUAGAUAACUCUCAGGAAAGCUUAGAACAGAAGAGAUCAAAGCAAUGCGAUAUUGAGGAGUUUCAUUACCAUCAUCCUUUUAUGGAUAAAAUGCUCCAGUGCUUAAUCAAUUAUGCUUUUUGGUAUUUUCUAUAUAAUUGCUUUAAUUUUCACCAAAUUCUUAUUGAUCCUGGUUGAUUUGUUGUUUACAUUAAUUAGUUAGUUAGUCGGAUUUUUUUAUUAUUAUUUAUAUUUCUUCUAACGUUUUCUUUUGAGUUGUCAUUCUUUUAAGUUUUCCUAGCUCAGUCAGGUGUGUUCUCUCCAACUUUCUCUUUUAUUAUUUAUGUUUUUAUUUUUCAUCUUUUUGCGUGCAUAUCUUUUAUUUAUGACACAUUGAGGACAAUGUUCCGAAUAAGUUUGGGGGUGGGAAUAAUGUUGCUUUGUUUGUUAAAAAAAACUAAAAAAAAAUUUCAAAAAUUCAAAAAAAAAUUGUGUUUUUUUUGUUUUUACGUGAAAAGCCAAUGAUAAAAACUUGAUUGACAAUGAAUAUGGUUUUUAGAAAGGGUUUAAUAUUGUCUUAAUUUAUACUUGAUUCUUAUGUUAGUUCCUCUUGAUUGAGAUUCUUUAAAAUAUAAGCACUAAUAUCAAUUCUUUCAUAAUUUUGACUUGAAAUUUGAGAUUGACGCAGCCUGAGUUGAGAAUUUUAGAUAGAGUAAAUGACUGUUUGUCUUUAUUCUUAUCUCCACAAUACAAAAUAGUAUACACAGGCACCAAAGUCAGAAAUAACUACCUAUAAUCCUUAAGAGUGAAGCUAUCCUUGAGUAAUUUAGGCCUAUGUACCACAAGUAUGUAGAGGAUAAUCUACCAUGAGAAGAAUGCUACCUUAAGGGGUAGAGUGAAAGCUCCUGACUAUGGUUAAAAAAAAAAGAAGAAGAAAAAGAGAAAGAAAAAAUCAAAUCAAGUGCAUGUGCUGAAAAAAAAAUCAAAAGAAAAUGCACAUAAAAGCCUGUGAAAAAAAAAUUGGAGAUUAAGAUGAUAAGAUUAGCUUGACCUACUCUUUUCUUUUUUUGAGGCGAAGGUUGUUGAUAUUGAAGAUUUUAGGAAUGAAUUUGAUUGAAUUGAUUUCACACACACACAACAAGAAUCGAAAGAGAGAUGGGAUUGAUUAUUGAAUUAAAGUUAGAACUUUGCCAAUAUUUGAAAUUUUGUUUGAGCUAUAUAAUUUAUGCAAUCUUUGAGGGUAUUUUCAUAUUUUAUUUAAAGUUUUUUUUUCUUUUUAUUUUAUUUUAUUUAUUUUUUAUUUUUUUAAAAUGAUGUUUGUGGGUGUCAUCACUGAAGCUCUCACGAGACUAUAACUCGUCCACUAGGGGUUUAAAGGCUUGUUGCAUACGCUAAAUGCAAUCGCGAUUACCUGCGAAAAUGGUUUAGUUAGGAUUUACUUUUUGUUUUGUUAUUUUUUUUUUUUUUUUUAGUUUUAGCUUUGCUCGAGGACUAGCAAAAUCUAAGUUUGGGGGUAUUUGAUGAGCAUAAUUUAUAUACAUAUUUUACCUUUAAUUAUAUAAUUAUUAGUUAUCUUUAUUAGUUAUUUUUAAUUAAUUGAAUUAUUUUAUUGCAUAGGGAAUUAAUUGGAGAUUGGGAAACAAAAAGUGCAUAAAGAAUAACAAGUUUGGGAAAGCAUCAAUCAAAGCCAUGACACAAUUAAGAGUUUAUAGCAUAUGAAGGCAAGAGUAAUUUGCACUAAAAAAGAAUUUCAAUUAUUCAAGUGAUCUGGACGUGCAUAGUAUUGUAAUGCAUGGAAAGCAACUUAAAGGGGCCCACACUUGGCUUUUACAAUUGGAAAAAGGAAUCCUAGUGCAAGCUUAAUUGGUGAGCACGUGAGUGAGAGCAAAGAAAAUUAAAAGGCCAAGCCUUUUGGCUUAAGGAAAUAACAAGGUCGGUGGGGCCCAUUUUAAAGAGUAAUAUAAAAGCAAGCUUUUGGCUUUUGGAGAGAGAAGCCGCCAGAGGAGGAAAACGCGAGACAAAGAGAAGAAAAUAUGCCGCAGUUCGACUUCUAUGGUUGGUUUUAUCUCUUUUGUUACUCUUAAUUCAAGUAUGUCUAGCUAAUUUUCUUAUAUUGAAGUUAAGGAUGAAAUCAUAUUCAAUGAAAUAAUUAUCUUUUUAUUUAUUUAAUUCCCAUAUAUGUUCUUUAAUGAUUAUGAUUUUUAUUUCACAUGAUUAAUUGGAUGUUAUUAAAAUCUUUUCAUCAAUUCUGUCAUAUAUUAUUGAUUGUUAUGAUUAAUAUUAAAUUAAAUCUAUACUUGGAUUUAUAAAGUUUAUACAUGAUUAUCUUUGAUUCUAUGUCUUUCAUUAAAUUGUUUACAUGGAGUGCCUAGGAAAACUUUGACUCUUUGUUAUUCAAUAUGUUCACAUGGGAUACUUAGAUGUCGUACUAUUAAGCGGAAAAAGAACCUAUAUUAGAUUUAAUUAUUUGGGCUUAAUUGUUAUAUCCAUGAGAUGACAUAGAUUGAUUUCGAGUUGUCACUCUAAAAUUGGGGAUUAAUGAAUAUUUAGAUAAUUACUAGUUGAAUAGUGGUGGAUUCUGAAACCUUGGUAAUUUCUAUCUUAUUGAAUUCUCCUUUACUUUAAUUGUUUUCUUAGUUUAAUUAGUUUAAUUUCUCUUAAAACUCAAUUCGCUCAACUAGGUUAGAAUUAAUAUUAAUUUUAGAUUUAAAUUAGACUUUUCAAUUUAUAACAAUCCCUGUGGGAUCGACCUCGUUACCACUACUCUAUUUCUAGAUUCGUGCGCUUGCGAGUAUAUUAAAAUUUUCACAACAUUCGGCACUCUCACUCCUUAAGAGAGGUCAGGGGUUCAAGCCUCGCUCUCGUAUGGAGUCACCACUUUGACCAGCACUUUACCCCUUACAGACCGACCCGGUGCGAGCAUGAAUUAGUCUGGGUUGUGGUACGGGCUUAAAGGUGCCUCCCACAAUUGAGACCCACUCAGGACCACCUCGUGGUUCGGACAAAAAAAAAAUUGAAAUAAAUUAUCUCAAAAUAAUUACUAACCAGAAAAAACAAAGGGGUUUAACUAGGUUAUGCAUACCUUUGAAAAUUAUAUGUUGAUCGAUAAGCAUGAUGAUCACGAUUGAGGAGUUUAAUUAAAAUUUAUAAGAUUUUAAAAUUAAUCAGGGUUAAAUUCUAAAUUUUAGAAAGAGAGGUUUUGUGAGAAUGCUGAAAGGGUGUUAAUAGUUCCACUCUUUUUUAAAAAAACCAUAGUCAUCAUUUUUCCCGAUUUCUUCUUCCCAUCUCCAUCUUAUUUAGAAAUUUCCCAGAGCCUUUGUUUCCCACCAUUCAUUUUUCUUCUUUCUAAUUUAAGAUUAUAGUAUUAUAAAAAUAAUUACUCACAUUUUAUCAAACACCUCCAUUAUACCAAGGCCUUGUUUUAGUAGUAGGCUUUUAUUAUCUCAAUAAAAUUGAAAAAACAAAGCUCAAUAAUAUUGGAAAAAAAACCUACCCAUAUUUGUAACUUUAAUUUAUUAUUCUCCAUAGACCUACUUUUUAGCUUUGAAUUUUGUUGGAGCCAUAUAUAAACAGAAUAUGUUGAAAUCAGCACAAAAAAAAAACUAAUUAUAUAAUUUUUGUUCCCAAGGACACGACUGUGUGAUUUUUAAGAAGUUUUGUUUGGCUGGCCACUUAGGUUUAAAUCUUGGUGGAGAUUAGGGGUUAAGAAAUAAAUUUGGACUUUGCACACCCCUUUAACUUUUAAAAAGAAUGAAAAAAACUAAUUAAUUAAUCUUUAUUUUAUUUAUUAAAUGUCAUAAUCAUAUGCAUAUUUUAUUUGUUAUCUUUCUAUUUAAAAGAUAGGAGGGCAAAUAAAACUGAAAUAAAUGUUUAUCCCUAUCUCCAUCUUUCAAGUUCCAUAGUUAGGUGACCAGCUAAAGAAAAUUAAUUGAAAGUUACUCCAUCAAAUUAAAAAAAAUUAUUUAUUUAAUUUGUGGAGAUGUAGAAAAUCAAACCCCAUACCUUUUCGCAUGCAAAAGUGUCAACCUGGUCUAGCUAUGUUGCAACAGUAAACAUAUUUUAAUACAUGACUAUCAUCUUUUAUCCUAAAUACUACUAUAACUAUGGGUUCAGUUAUGCUGUAACUGUGGUAUGGUACCACAGUUGUUUUCAACCAUUAAAUUCAACUUAUAUAACUAUGCAACUGUAGAUCUAACGGCUGAAAGCAACUAUGGUACCAUACCACAGUUGCAACAUAGUUUUGCCCCUAUAACUCAUAACAUUCAAUUGAAAUAAUAAAUGUUAACACUUGGCUAUAAAUAAAGGUUUUGUACUUGAAUCUUCAUGCAUGACCUUCAUUCCUUUAUUGACUUUGCUAACACAGAUUUUGAGGCAUUAAAACUAAAUAAUAAUUGACUUUGUGGGCCGAGGAUGCCAGCAACAAGGAGACCACAAUUAUCACUAGUUAAGUUACUCUAAUUGCCGUUGUCUUAUAUUCAUAAAAUAUUAGUAAUAAGAUUAUUGUAGAAUUUUUUUAUAUUAAAAUUAAGUCAAUUUGUUAUAACAAAUUUAGUUGAGUUUAAUCGUGUUACUACAUACAUUGAAUAAUAAUAGAAUUCUCGACAAAUAUUUCAAUAUUUUUAUCCCAAGCGUUGGAGUGGCAUUUAUUUGUUAGACAAUCGAUUUUAGAACUUAUAAAAUUAUUCGUUACUGAAUUGCACCAUAUGCUGCAUGACCUGAAACUUAAUAAACGGAACGUAGCGUUGGCAACAUUCACUGUCAUGACUUUGUGACAUUAGAAUUAAAUUUUUUUGCACAUUUAAUUUGUUUACUUCCAAAUUAAUAUUUAACAAAAUAUUUUUUCACAUUAUCAAUGGACAAAACUCCAACGAAAAUAACUAUACAAUAUAUGCUAGUAUUGUAUGCCAUAUCAUCUGUAAUUUUGUCAGGAUCGAUCAUUUUAAUUUUUAAGCAAAACUUUUUAUCAAUGGACAAACACCUCACACAGCUUGUCAGAGGCAUUAUUAUGAUGGAAAACUGAUAAACAGUGAACUCGAAACUCAAUUACUACAAGUCGUUUAGAGGAUUCAGUCUUGGAUGACUUGUCACUUGUGGAAUUCUUGAAGCCAGAACCGACAUAAUCUCAGUCGUCAUUCUGUCUUAAGUAAUACACAUGGUUUGCAUGUGUGUUGAAGCUGACUCUUUGCUUGGAUCAAGAAACGACGUCUUUGAGUGCCGUUUCUUAAACACACUUUAAAUCAGCUUGUGUCAAGCACGUGAGGUAGAGCUUUUUGAAUAGAUUUGGCGGGAAUGGUAGUUAGUGUAACAACCCAGAAAUAGAGGUUAAAAGGUGAAGGCUUUGUCAUCAUCUACACAUGAUUUGGGAAACAUUGAGAGUAGAGAAAAAGAUAGAGAGAGAAAGGGGUUAACAAGUUCUUGUUCUCUGUAAAUCGAUUUAUAUUCUUGUAAAGUUUGUGAUCUCAAUUAGUGAAAGACUGUUGCUUUGUUUCCAGUGGAUGUAGGCACCACUUCUUGGUGCUGAACCACUUAUACUUGGUGUCAUAUUGUUUCUUUAAUGCUUUGAUUCUUGCGUGUGAUUGUUGCUGGAUAAUCUGUGCUGUUAAUUCUCAAACCAUUGAUACAGAAUUAAUGUCUUGGGGAGAAUUUGGUUAGUCUUAUCAAAGCCGAAUUCACAACAAAUUGGUAUCAGAGCCCUCUUUUCUGUAUCAAGGUUCAAGAAAUGACUAACAAGGUGGAUCUUGAGAAGUUCAAUGGUCAGAAUGAUUUCAAUAUGUGGAGGAUCAAGAUGGAAGCAUUGUUAAUCACACAAGGUCUGGGAGAUGCCAUUGAUCCAGUCAUUAAGAGUGAAAAUGCAGAAGCCUAUUCUUCAAGAACUCCAGAACAGAUGGCUAAGAUUGAAAAAAAGGCAAGAAGCACCAUCAUCCUCAGUCUUGGUGACUUAGUGAUAAGGGAAGUUGCCAAGAAAAAGACUGUUGCUAGGCUCUGGGCAAAACUGGAACAAUUGUAUAUGACAAAGUCCUUAGCAAACAGGCUAUACAUCAAGAAAAAGAUGUUCUCACUGAGGAUGAUUGAAGGAGCAUCACUUGAUGAACACAUAGAUGAGUUUAAUAAAGUUUGUGAUGAACUGGAAACAAUUGAUGAAGGACUGAGUGAUGAGAGCAAGGCUUUGCUGUUAAUCAGUUCUUCACCAAAAUCAUAUGAACAUUUUGUGGAUGCCUUGUUAUAUGGAAGGCAAUCACUCUCCUUGGAAGAGGUUAAAUCUACUCUUGGUACCAAGAAGUUAAAAGAAAAACAAGAUAACUCAGAGAGUGAAUCAAGUGAAGGGCUGAUGGCAAGGGGCAGAUCUGAAAAAAAGGAGUACAAAGGAAAAAAACAAGGGAGAUCAAAGUCAAAGCAGAAACAUUUGAAGUGUUUUCACUGCCACAAAGAAGGGCAUUUCAAGAGGGAUUGCCCUGAGAGAAAAACAAAGCAAAAGGAAUCAAAAGACAAAUCUGGAAAUACAGCAAUAGCCACAGAAGAAACCAGUUUUGAGAUAGCUGAAGUCCUCAUUGCCACAAAAGAAAAAAACUCAAGGUCAGUGGGUACUAGACUCUGGAUGUACUUUUCAUAUGAGUCCAAAUAGAAAUUACUUUACUACAUAUCAGUCCUGUGAUGGGGGUAUGGUGCUGAUGGGAAAUAAUUCAGUUUGUAAAGCAGUUGGGAUUGGGACUGUAAGCCUUAAGAUGUAUGAUGGCAUGGUUAGAGAACUAACUCAGUUUAGGCAUGUUCCUGAGCUUAAAAGGAACCUAAUAUCUAUUGGCAUGCUUGAUCAAACUGGAUGUGUCAAUAAGGCUGAAAAUGGGUCAUUGAAAGUUAUCAGAGGCUCAAUAGUCAUAAUGAAAAGUUCCAAGCAAAAUGGUUUGUAUGUGUUGAAUGGACAUACAACUGUUGGAGAGGCAAGUGUCACUGAGAAGAGUGAAGACAAAGCAAGACUAUGGCACUUGAGGUUGGGGCAUAUGAGUGAAAGGGGAUUGAAGGAGCUUCAAAAGAAUGGGGUGUUUGGAAGUGACAAGCUAAGUUCUUUGGGGUUCUGUGAAGACUGUAUCCUAGGGAAGGCUUCCAAUCUCAAGUUUGAAUCUGCAGUUCAUUCUACCAAAGAGAAGCUUGCAUAUAUACACUCUGAUAUGUGGGGGCCUGCACAGGUAAAUUCUCUUGGUGGCUUUAAGUAUUUCUUAUCCUUAAUAGAUGACUAUUCAAGGAUGGUUUGGGUGUAUGUACUCAAAACCAAAGAUGAAGCUUUGGAAAAGUUUUAGAGGUGGAAAAUUCUGGUAGAAACACAGACAAGUUUGAAAGUAAAAGCUCUAAGAACAGAUAAUGAAUUGGAAUUCUGCAACAAAGAGUUUGGAGACUUUUGUAAAAGACAUGAGAUUAUGAGGCACAAAACAGUCAUACACACACCUCAGCAAAAUGGUUUUGCUGAGAGAAUGAACAGAACCUUAAUGGACAAGGUGAGGUGUAUACUGCUAUACUCAAAGCUGCCUAAGUCACUCUGGGCAGAGGCCUUAAACACAGCAUGUUACUUGGUAAAUAUAAGUCCAUCUACAGCAAUAGAAUGCAAAACACCUAUCGAGCUAUGGUCUGGAAGGGUUGCAGAUUACUUUAAACUGAGAAUCUUUGGAUGUGUUGCUUAUGCAUAUGUCAAACAAGGCAAAUUGGAGCCAAGAGCUUUAAGGUGUAGAUUUCUAGGAUACCCUGAUGGAGUUAAAGGCUAUAGGCUAUGGUGCAUUGAUUUGAAGCCACCAAAAUGCAUUAUCAGCAGGGAUGUAACUUUCAAUGAGUCAGAAAUCUUGAACAAAUCCAAAACCACUUAAUCCAAAGAUCAUAUAUCAGAAACAAGACCUGGGAGUGUUCAGUUUGAGGUGGAGUCCUAUGAACAAGAUAGGACUGAAUCAGAAACUGAAGGAGAUUCAGGAAGGGUUACUGAUGGAUUUGAUGUUGUUCAGGAGUCAGAGCCAGCUGAGAAUGAAGAUAAUUCUUAUCAGUUGGUCAGGGAUAGAAAGAAGAGAGCUGUAAGACCACCUAAGAGGUAUACAAUAGCAGAUUUCAUAGCUUAUACAUUAACAGUUGCACAAGAGGUAAAUGAGGAAGAGCUAAGAACCUAUAAAGAAGCUAUAAACAGCAUGGAUAAGAUGAAAUGGAAGGAGGCUAUGGAUGAGGAAAUUGAAUCACUAAUGAAAAAUGGAACUUGGAAGCUGAUAGUUAGACUAGAAAAAAGGAAGACUGUUAGCUGCAAAUGGAUCUUCAAAGUUAAGGAAGGUAUAUCUGAUGCUGAACCUAGUAGGUUUAAAGCUAGGCUGGUAGCAAGAGGCUUCACACAAAGAGAGGGGAUUGAUUUCCAUGAAAUCUUCUCUCUAGUUGUGAAACAUGCCUCCAUCAGAGUCAUCUUAGCUUUAGUUGCCAUUCAAGACAUGUACCUGGAGCAUAUGGAUGUUAAAACAGCCUUCCUGCAUGGUGAAUUACAAGAAGAAAUUGUAAUGGAACAGCCUGGGGGGUAUGUGGUGUCUAGUAAGGAAAAUCAUGUGUGCUUACUAAAGAAAUAUUUAUAUGGAUUAAAGCAGUCUCCUAGGCAAUGGUACUUGAAGUUUGAUAGUUUUAUGACAAAACAUGCCUACAAGAAAUGCAAUUAUGAUUGUUGCGUGUACUUUAGGGACAUUGGUGAUGGAAAGAUGAUUUAUCUUAUGCUGUAUAUGGAUGACAUGCUUAUAGCAUGUCACAGCAUAGAUGAAAUCAGUCAUUUAAAGAAUCUCUUGAGCAGUGAAUUCGAUAUGAAAGAUCUUGGAGCUGUAAGGAAGAUCUUAGGUAUGGAAAUUAUCAGAGACAGGAGAAGGAAGCUUAUGUUUUUAACCCAACAGAGCUAUGUUAAGAAGGUGUUGCUUAGAUUUGGGAUGCAUGAAUCCAAGUCUGUUCAAACACCUUUGGCAAAUCACUUCAAGCUGUCUGCUGCACAUUGUCCACAAACUGAUGCAGAGCAAGGAAAAAUGGCAAGGAUACCUUACUCCAGUGCAGUUGGGAGCCUCAUGUAUGCCAUGGUUCUCACUAGACAUGAUAUCUCACAUGCUGUGAGUAUAGUGAGUAGAUUCAUGGCAAAUCCAGGUUAUGAGCAUUGGAGGGCAGUCCAGUGGAUAAUGAGGUACCUGAAAGGCACUAUGGAGUUUGGUCUGCUAUAUGGAGGGUUAAAACAGGAAGGGCACAAGCUGGUGGGGUAUGUUGACUCAGACUUCGCUGGAGAUCUUGAUAAAAGGAGGUCUCAGACAUGUUUUAUAUUCACUUUGGGAGGCUGCACUGUGAACUGGAAAGCUACUCUGCAAAGUGUGGUAGCUUUGUCCACAACUGAAGCCGAAUAUACAGCAGCUGCAGAAGCUUUUAAGGAAGUCAUCUGGUUAAAAGGAAUGGUCUCAGAGUUAGGAGCAAAACAAGAAACAGUUGAAGUAUACUGUGAUAGCCAGAGUGCAAUACAUUUGAGUAAAAACCAGACCCAUCAUGAAGGAACAAAACAUAUUGAUGUAAAGCUUCAUUUUGUAAGACUUGAAGUUUCAAAGGGAACUGUGAAGAUGCUCGAGGUUCACACUGAUCAAAAUCCAACCGAUAUGUUGACUAAAGCUGUGCCUUCUGCCAAGCUCAACUUCUGUUUGAGCUUAGCAGGAAUUUGCAGUUUCUGAUCAGCUGCAAAAGAAAGGGAAUAAAGUAUACAGGAGUAGCUAGAGUUCAGAGUUCACACUGAUUAAAAGGUGCAGGCUUUGUCAUCGUCUACACAUGAUUUGGGAAACACAGAGAGUAGAGAAAAAGAUAGAGAGAGAAAGGGGUUAACAAGUUCUUGUUCUCUGUAAAUCGAUUUCUAUUCUUGUAAAGUUUGUGAUCUCAAUUAGUGAAAGAUUGUUGCUUUGUUUCCAGUGGAUGUAGGCACCACUUCUUGGUGCUGAACCACUUAUGCUUGGUGUCAUAUUGUUUCUUUAAUGCUUUGAUUCUUGCGUGUGAUUGUUGCUGGAUAAUCUGUGCUGUUAAUUCUCAAACCAUUGAUACAGAAUUAAUGUCUUGGGGAGAAUUUGGUUAGUCUUAUCAAAGCCGAAUUCACAACAAAAACUGUAAUGGUAUAUCUUGAAUUAUUGGUAGAAUAGUUCUUUGGAGCAAUAAAAACAGAUAAGACAGAUGAGAAAAUUGUCAAUACCCCACCGCAAAAGCAAAAGAAAACAAGGAAAGGAGACAAAAGAGGAAGAAGAAAAAGAAAAAAGAACGAAGAAAAAAAUGGUGCCGUGCGGUAUAGGCAAGAAGAAAAAAUAAUAAAAAAUAAUAAAAUAAUAGUGCACAACAAUCAUUUGAUUGCUAUAAAUAAAAGGCGUUUCCCUCAUUUUAUUCAUCGAAUUCUUCAGUUCCUUUCAAGCGAUUUAAGAGUCUAGUGAUUUGAGAGUUUGGGUGUAGUAUGAUUUUGGGUAGUGAGCUAAAAUACUACAAUACUUGUAACUCAUUUUUAUUAGUAAAAUAUUUUCCUUCUGACUUCGCCCGUGGACGUAUGCUAAAAGCCGAAUCACGUAAUUUCUGGUGUCCCUAUGUGAUUAUGUGUCUCAUUAUUUCUUAAUUUCACUUUAGUUGCGUGUCUGCGACACCCCUCAAUUUAUUAACAAAAAAUGGCCAAAAUUAUAUAAGUGACCCAAAUUUUUUUGUUAUUUCCAAGAAAUCCCCAAUCUGAAUGGGCUAGACCAGAGGGAGGCAAGUUAGAAAUACAUUUCCUUCAUAGACAAUAACAGUGAUGAGUCGAUGACAUCAAGCCACGUCGGUAUCAAUAUUGAAUUAAAGGUGCAAUUAUUCAGCCAAUGAACCUUACACAUCAAGAUAAAAGUCAAGAAAAUGAAAAUUUAUCCCAAUUAAAACACUUUCUGGCUGCAUUUAGUUGUUUCCAUUAGAAGUUAAAAACAACGUUUCUUUCGUUUUGUGGGCAACUCAACUGAGUUAGCUGGCUUCUAGUGCUAGUAUGUGAAAAUAGAAGGCUAAUGAUUUAUUUAUUAUCUUUUGACAAAAUUAUUAAAGAUAUAAUAGAUUUUCUAUGAUACAAGUGAAAAAUCACAUCAACAUAGCUUUCAAUCUACAGCAGCUAGCGUUUACCAAACACUUUGUUGUAGCUUUUAAGCUAUAGCUGCCCAACCUCAAUCUCAAACGCACCCUUAAUAGGUUGAUUGAAUUUGUGAGAUAUGGAUUCCACAUAUCUCAUGACCUAGUAAUUAUACAAGUGGUUCGUGAUCAAGACACAACAUUUGCUUCCGGCCUAGUGACCCAGCAAUCGCUGCACUGGUCGCCACCUAUGGUGCCGACGAUAUUGCAUGGUCCAAUUGUGGCCUUGAAUGGAAAAAGUUGAGCAAAUUAUUUGUGGACACGAUGAUAAGUAACGCAAGCCUUGAUGCUAGUUAUGGUCAAAGAAAACAAGAGGUUAAGAAUACUAUCAGAGAUAUUCAUAACAACAAAAAGGAAAAAAAAAAGGCAUUUGCAAGCCCAUUGAUAUUGGUGAAUUGUCGAUUUCAACUUUGGCAUGUGUAAUCCAGAACCUGCGCGCUGUGGUAUGGCGCUGGCACGCUUGCAUUAACGAGGGGACAAGUCUUGGGGCUGAGCUAACAUUUAAGCUCGCAGAACUCAUGGUGCUAAUGGGAACACCAAAUAUUUUUUUGACAUAUUUUGGUGCUUUCAUGGUUUAAUUCAAGGUAUAGAAAGGAGUGUUGAGAAUGUCAAAUAAAACGGCAUUGAAUGGAAGUUGUCAAAGACACGAUCCGCACCGAACGGCAACGACACGGUUGCUAAAAAUCCUUCCAUAAUAUGCAUAUCUAAUUUUUUAAAAAGUGUAACCUCUGCAUUUAUAAAUAUACUCAAUGUAUAAUGUUUUACUUAAGAAAUGAAAAACUUGUUUGUUCAAGGAGAAUAAAGAAAAUUUUUCUAUGAUUUUUUUAUGGUUUGAACAAAGAAGGUUUUAAUGAGUAUUAUAGACCUCGAUUGAAUGUUCGAAUGUAUAAUAAAAGAGAAACUGUCACAUAAAUGACAAAGAUACUUGGAAAAAAAAAAAGGGCAGCAAUAGAGAAUUAGAUUCGACUGCACAAAUAACUAGUUAAUUCAUCAAUACAUCAUUUUCUUGCUAGAAAAUGACAAUUAUGACAGCAAGCCACGAUAGUGUCAAUAUUGAAAUUGAUUUGCAAUUAUUCAGCCAAUGUGCCUUACACGUCAAGAUAAAAGUCAAGAAAAUGAAAGUUAAUAUCAAUUAAAACACUUCCUGGGCCGCAUUUAGCUCCAGUUUUUGUGGUAGGAAAACAAAGUUUUGUUUUAAAUUCACAUGGUGUGCACUUCCUAUAUAAAUCUAGAGUUGUGUCCCACGUUGAACAAUAAAGGAAAGUCACCUAAAUAUACAUGUAGGAUAAGUUACUUUAUUUAGUAAGUUUGUAUUUUCUUCUUUCUUCUAGUUUACAUAUAAAUUUGAUUAGAUAACUUAACACAUAUUUUAAUACUUGAUCAGAAGCCCUACGUACAGGUGGAUCUAGAAACUUGAUUUCUAAGAGUAAUACUAUAAUAAAAAAAUAAUGAUUCAUAGAACCAAUAUCAAAAUUUGUUUACAAGAUUACCCCCACUCAAAGGUAAUUUUCAUAGAAAUUAAUAGGAAAUUUAAUUGUUAGUGGGGUCAAAUUGCCCCCACACUCUGAAUGUAGAUCCACGCCCGACCCUGAGUCAAGUAUAUUUUGCCACAUAUACUCUGAAUGUCGGCAGGAAAAAUCUUCCACUUUAGUUUAAAAUUUUCACUUAAAAUUUAUUUACGUUAAUAAAGUUGGUAAAGGAAAUGAGUUUAAUUAAAGAAUAUUAUAGGAGAAAUUCUAUUGUUUGGCUUUUAAUAAAUUAAUUAAUAGGUUUAAAAAGAUUAAUAUACAUCAAAAUAUUAUUAGUUGGUGGUGGUUCCACAUCGGACUAAGACGUGGCACCUUACUUGUGAGAUUAAGACAAUCAGGCUUAGACUAUUUAAAUAUGUUUGAAGCUUAGAUGGCACCGCUUCAAUUUGCAUUAAUGAAUGUCAUUCUUUACCCUAAUUACUACGUAAUUGAUAACAUGCAAUUGAAAUAACUAAUAUUAGCACUUGGCUAUAAAUGAACUAAAGGCCGUGCAAUUGAAUCUUUACUUGAUCACUUCAUUCCUUUAUUUUGCUAACACAGAUUUUGAGAUAUUAAAACGAAAUAAUAAUUGAAUCUGGCUUUGUGGGUCGAUGAUGCCAGCAACAACGAGACCACAAUUAUCACUUGUUUAUUUGCUGUAUUUGACGUUGUUUCAUAUUGGUAGUAAUAACUAAUAAGGUCGUUGUAGAGUUUUUAAUCUUUUUUUUUAUAUUAAUCACGAGGUAUCCUGGGGAGGGCCCCAACUGUGGGAGGCACCUUUAAGCUCGUACCACAACCCAGACUAGAAGUCCCCGCUCGAACCGGGAGGCACAGUUUUUAAUCUUUUUUAUAUUAAAGUUAAGUCAAUUUGUUAUAAAUAAAUAAAAAAUUGGUUGAGUUUAAUUAUAUUGCUAUGUACAUUAAAUAAUUAUAAUAUUCUCGAGGGAAAAAGACACCUAGAACCUCAAGGUUUGGGGAAAUGGUCACAAAAACUCCUAAGUUUUAAAAAAGGAACACUAAAAUCUUUUUUUACCCAUAAUACCCUUUGACUAUAGUAAUUAGAAAAUUGACUUUAAAGGUUUUUAAAUAAUACAAAUUUAAUAUAAAUCAUAUAAUCUAUCUAGUACACUAAUAAUAUUAAAUUAUUUUUUAUAUUUAAAAUAAUGUUAAAAAAUUUAAAUUAUUAUAUUUAUUUUAAUAAUAUAUUUAUAAAAUUAUAAAGAUUUUAAAUAAAUCUUUGGAUUGAAUAUAUUUUACAAUUAAAAGUCUUCCUAUUAAUAAUAUUAAAAUUAAAUUUUAAGUAAUAUAUAUUCAAAAUAUUUUUAAUUUAAUUUUAUUUAUUUUAAUAUUAUGUUUCUAUCUAUUAUUAAAAAUUACUUUAAUAUAAUAAAAUAGGUCUAAUAGAUUGAAAAAUAUGAAAAUAUUUUUAAAAUUUUAAAUUAUUUUGAAAUGUAUAUAUUAUUACAUUUAUUUCAAUGUCAUAUUUCCAUUUAUUAUAAAAUUUUGGGGUUAUUUUUUUGGGAAUUUAUAGAGUCAAAGAGCAUUAUGGUUAAAAAAGAGUCUUGGUGUCCCUUAUUGAAAACUUUAGAGUUUUUGUGACCAUUUUCCUAAAUCUUGGGGGUGUUGAAGUGGCACUUAUUGUAAGAUUGAUUUUAAAAUAUGUAAAAUUAAUUUUAUUACAUUACCAUAUGCUACAUCACCUGAAACUUAAUAAAUGGAACGUAGCAUUACUCCACGUUCACCGUUAUGACCUUAUGACAUUAGAAUUAAAAUCUUUCGUACGUUUAAAUUGUUUACUUCCAAAUUAAUCUUUCGUAAAUAUUUUGUACAGAUCUUAUCGGAGUUAGCGUGUUCAUUACAGUGUUUCUUUUCUUUUAUCCUUUCUUUUGAAACGUAUUUCCUGUGGACAAGGAAAGCAAAUAAUACCCUGCCACCAGGACCUCGCGGCUUGCCUGUAAUCGGAUACCUUCCAUUUCUCGGAAUUACUGACUUACACAAGACAUUCACGGAAUUAGCUGGUCUAUAUGGCCCGAUCUUCAAACUCUGGCUUGGCAACAAAUUGUGUGUAGUGGUUAGCUCGCCUUCAACUAGUUCUAUAAGAAUAUCCCUUUUAAGGGAUUCUCUCUCUGCAAAAUUUUUUUAUCUUCUGGUGCAUAAUAAAAACUUAUGCCACUUCAUUAACCACAGAUAUCUUUUGAGGAAACGAUGUUUCGUUUUCUUUUGUUUUUUCCUUCCUAAUCCUCGCAUAUCGUGUGAAGGCUAAUAUAUCCAAGAAUCUAAAUCUCUGUAAAUCUUUUUCUAUCCAAAUCUACAUAAUAAUUUAAUCCAUGCACAAUAUCUAUAAUUAUAUCGGCUGUCGGCUGAUUUCGUGGAGGGGGCGGCAGUUCAAAUUUUUUACGUGCAUGUUGGAUGGACGUCUCUAUUAAAGGAGAGCCACCACUUGCAUGGUAAUUUUUUUAAAUAAAUAUAUACAUUUCAAAAUAUUAUUUCAUUGUUGUAUAGUUAACAUGUCACCUUAGAUGUAUUUUAGAACUUCUCCUAUUAAAGAUAAUCUCAUGCAGUGAUACUUCUCGUGAUCUAAUCAUUAGUAGAAUCUAUAAUUUCGCUACUGUAAUAAAAUCUGUCCCUACCCUAUAUGAAUGUAGAUAUUUGACGCGAUUUGUAAUUGCUUCCGACAGGAAAACAGCAAUAGUUUAAUUGAAAUUUGUGGUAUGGAUUCCACGAAUCUUAUGACAGAAUACUGACCACUCCAACCCUAUCCACAUUUACACGAUUAAAACACAAGCUUAGAUGUGACAAUGCAUUUGUCACUUUUGUUCAAAUUCAUCCUGAAACACUAUACACUAAAUAAUCGAAUAUGGCUUCGUGGGUCGAUGAUGCUAGCAGCAACGAGACUGCAAUUAUCACUUGUUUUGUUGCUGUACUUGUCGUGGUCUAUUUCGCAUGGAAUGUAAACAAAUCAAGUAAAGCAAAUGCUAAAUUGCCACCAGGAUCUCGGGGCUUGCCAGUAGUCGGAUACCUCCCAUUUCUUGGAACUACUGACUUACACAAGACAUUCACGGAGUUAGCUGGAGUUUAUGGUCCGAUCUUCAAGAUUUGGCUUGGGAAUAAAUUGUGUGUAGUGGUGAGCUCGCCUACCCUAGUUAAACAAGUGGUCCGUGAUCAAGAUAUAACAUUCUCAAACCGCGACCCACCGAUCGCUGGAACUGUGACCACCUACGGUGGCAAUGAUAUUGCACUUUCCAAUUAUGGUCCCGAAUGGAAAAAGUUGCGAAAAUUAUUUGUGAGCAAGAUGAUGAGUAAUGCAACCCUUGAUGCUUGUUAUGCUCUAAGAAAACAAGAGGUUAAAAAUACUAUCAGGGAUUUGUACAACAACAAUAAGGAUAAUAUUGGCAGUGGCAAUGGCAAGCCCAUUGACGUUGGUGAAUUGUCGAUUUCAACUUUGGUACGUGUUAUGCAGAACAUGCUGUGGGGUCAAGCAUUGGAAACAAGAGAGAAAGAGAUUACUAAUCUCGGGGCUAAUCUUGCAGAACUCAUGGUGCUACUGGGAACACCAAAUAUUUCGGAUAUUUUUCCAGUGCUUUCAUUGCUUGACAUGCAAGGUAUAGAGAGAAGAGCUAAGAAGAUUUCUCUAUGGUUUGAAAACAUUAUCAAUUCUGGUGUUGAACAGUAUAGAAACAAGUUUUCUGUUGUUAAAGGUGAAGAAGCUGCAGCAGGAAAAAAUAUUGAACGAUCAAGAAAUAAGGACUUCUUGCAGUUACUGUUGGAGCUUCAGGAAAAUGAAGAUAGUGCUUCAUCUAUUAGCAUGAACCAACUAAAGGCCGUGCUCGUGGUAUGUUAAGCAACUAGACACAAAAAGUUGUAAAAGCACAGUGAUAUAUUUGCGCGAGGCCGCGAGUGAUGUUUUGCCUCGAGAACUCUCAAUUUUAUCUUACGGUAAAAAAUGUUUUUCAACUUUUUUUAAUUAGAAUUUUAUUGCAAUUUAUUUAACAGGACAUAAUUGUGGCCGGAACCGACACCACAACUACGAUGGUGGAAUGGACAAUGGCAGAGUUGAUGCAACAUCCACAAGUAAUGAAGAAAGUUCAAGAAGAAUUAGCUCAAGUUGUGGGCAUGGACAGUUGUGUUGAAGAAUAUCACUUGCCUAAAUUAAAUUAUUUAGAUGCUGUGGUGAAAGAAACAUUUCGUUUGCAUCCUGCGUUGCCCUUAUUGGUACCUCGCACGGCAAGCGAGAACAGCAAUAUUGGUGGCUAUACCAUUCCCAACGACACUAAUUUUAUGUUGAAUGUUUGGGCUAUUCACAGGGAUCCUCAACUUUGGGAUAAUCCCUUAGAUUUUCGACCUGAGAGGUUCUUGAAUGAUGAUAUCAUAAGCAAAUUCAAUUACUCGGGUAACAAUUUUCAGUACUUGCCAUUUGGUUCUGGUAGAAGGAUGUGCGCUGGCAUUCCUCUAGCUGAGAGGAUGUUGAUGCUUGUUCUGGCUUCGUUGUUGCACUUGUUUGAGUGGAAAUUGCCCCCGGGCACAAAGCUAGACUUAGCUGAAAAGUAUGGGAUUGUCAUGCGGAAAAAAGAGCCUCUGAUUGCUAUUCCAACACCAAGGCUACCAAAUUCAGAUCUCUACCAGUAAGAUCAAAAUGGUUGUGAUGAUAUUAUUUCCCAUUGUAUUGGAAUAUUUUUGUGUGAUUUGAAGUUCAAUCAUAAUAAAAUAUUUUAAUAAAAUGUCCUCGGUUGCUAAUUUUUCAAUAGUAUACUCUAUCAUCGUUUCUAACUGUCUUUUAGAGCCAUUUGGUCUAAUUUAUUUUUGAAUUAAAAUCCAUAAAUAUUUAAAUUUUUGAAUCAUAUUAAGAAUUAUCUGGAGUGUAUGGUCUGAUCUUCAAGUUCUGGCUUGUAAACAAAUUAGAGUUCUGAUAUUUGCCCCGGGUCAAACCCCGAAAUUAAAUAAAACGGCGUCGUUUUGUUUUUUUUUUUUUUUUUUUCUUUUUUACUUCUUCCAAACGUUGCCAUUUCACUUGUCAUUUGCAAGUGACUCCAUUGAUCCUUAGUUGAAACAGAGUUACACCGUAAAUCUCUUCCUCUUCGUUUCUUCGUUUCACCAGGGAACGAGACAGAUAAAAUCCAGCCAUUCUUCGACAUAACAAGAUAUCGAUUAGAAUCCAACGACAUAACUAUAAACCAUGACAUUGCGCUUGAUUUUGCGAAAUACCGAUUAAGAACCAGUAACUUUGAAUCCAAUGACCGUUAAGAGUUUGAAAUUGGUUUCAAAUGACUAAUGAGUUAUCAGAUUUCUUUGCGUCUACAUUUUCCUUGAAGGUUUCUCAGCAGCCAAACAAAUACAAAGCAAAUUGCAGAAGAAACACAUUUUGUUCCAAUGAAAAAUGUACGGAAACAUUUUAAAUAUGGAAAAUUACCUCAAAAUGAAGGCUCGCAAGAGAUUCGAGCAACAAAUUAGAUCAAAGGAACCGGCGCUGAGCAAGAAAGUGAGCUCAAAGAUUCCGAAACACAAACGUAAAUUCACAAAAAUGCAAAUCUAUGAUGAACGCCAAGAUCAAAAUUUUCGAAGAAAGGGAGCUGAAAAAAUAAAUGAAACGUCAAACUAGAUGACAAUGGAUUUGCUUCUUCAAAGGAGACAAUGAAAUUGUUACUAGAGACAGCUAGAGAAAUAGAGAGAGAGAGAGAGAGAGCUUGAAUUGGCUGUACCCCCACCAGAAAGUGGGUAGUGCCUUUUCCACUUGGACUUGAUAUGCGAAUCUGAAAAAAUCUGAACGAAGGACUGACUCAUCCCAGCUCGAAAGCAAACCAAGCUAGGACUGACUGAAAACGUUGCCGUUUGGAGAAGUUAAAAAAAAAAACUAAACAAAACGACGCCGUUUUGUUUAGUUUCGGGGUUUGACCCGGAAUUUGACCCGGGGCAAACAUCAUUUUCCAACAAAUUAUGCAUGGUCGUGUACACGCUUUCCCUAAUUAAGCAUGAGGUUCGUGAUCAAGGCACAACAUUCACUCCCUGCGACCCAACAAUCGCUACAUUGUUUGCCACCUAUAGUGCCAACGAUUUUGCACGGUCCAAUUAUGGUCCCCAAUCGAAAACGUUGCGCAAAUGUUUUCUGGGCAAGAUGAUAAGUAACGCAAGCCUUGAUGCUUGUUAUGGUCUAAGAAAACAAGAGGUUAAUAUAUAUAUAUAUAUAUAUAUAUAUAUAUAUAUAUAUAUAUAUAAAUUGGCAUUGUCAACUUUUGUAUGUUUUAUUCAGAACCCGCUGUGGGUUGACGCUAGCAUGCUUGCGUUAGGAGACGAGGGGACCAAUCUUGGGGCUGAGCUAAAAUAUAAGCUUGUAGAGAUCAUCUUGCUAAUGGUAAUGUUUUCCGAUGCUGGUUUAAUUCAUGGUAUAAAAAGGAGAACAAAAAAGAUUUUUCUAUGCUUUGAAAAUAUUAUAAUUUUUAUUUUAUAAUUUUUAAUAAAAUCUCUCAUUGAUAGCCAAACAAUUAAAAUUUUUGUAAAGCUUUUGUGGACUUUUGAUCGCGUAUGGUGCCAAUGUAUUGCGUGGUCCUAUUAUGGUUCCAAAUGGAGAAAGUUGCACAAGUUUUUUGAGUACCAGAAGAUCAGUAAUGUAAGCCUUGAUGGUUGUUAUGGUCUAAGAAAACAAGAGGCUAAAAAUUCUAUCUGGGAUUUUUAUAACAACAACAAAAUUGGCAAGCCCAUUGACAUUGGUGAAUUGUCAGUUUCAACCUUGGUAAGUGCGAUUCAGAACAUGCUGUGGGGUGAAACGCUUGAAAUAACAAAGAAAUGGAUUUACUAAUAUUGGGGCUGGGCUAAGAUUUAAGCUUGCAGAACUCACGGUGCUAGAGGGAACACCGAAUAUUUUGGAUAUCUUUCCAGUGCUUUCAUGGUUUAAUAUACAAGGUUUUCAGAGAAUAGCAAAGAAGAUUUCUCUAUGGUUUUAAAAUAUUAUCAAUUCUACUGCUGAACGCUAUAGAAACAACGUCUCUAUUGUCAAAAGUGAAGAAGCAGCAGCAGCAGGGAACAAUAUUGAAGGAAGGAAUAAGGACUUGGUGCAGUUACGCUUGGAGCUUCAAGGUAAAGAAGACAAUGCUUCAUCAAUUAGCAGGACGCAAUUUAAGAGCUUGCUCGUGGUAUGUUGCGCAACUAGCCACAGACAGUUACAGAAACUGAGUUUGGCAGAUUACGACCGUUUCUGGUGAUUACAUAAUUAUUUGUGGCUGUUUUUUUUUUUUAAUUGUAAUUUUCUUAACAGGAUAUAAUUUAGGGUGGAACCAACACCACAACUAUAAUGGUGGAAUGGACAAUGGCAUAAUUGAUACAGCAUCCACAAGUAAUAGAGAAUGUACAGGUAGAACUAAAUCGGGCCGUGGCCAUCGACAGCCAUGUUGAAGAAUUUCACCUAGCUAAGUUAAAAUAUUUAGAUGCUGUGGUGAAAGAAACAUUCUGCACUGUAAUAUAAUACAUGAAUCAUAUGUCCUCUAUUGUUUUUUUAUUUUUCUCUUUUUUUCAAUAGCUUAAUCUAUCAUUAAAAUCUUCUGAAAUUCUAAAUUAAUAUACAUUCAACCUAGAGUUCAAGCCAAAGUUUUAUUGAGCAUUAAAAAAAAAAAAAAUUCUACGACUCAAAAUUUUGUGGAGUAUAAAUUAAAAAUUAUGCGCCUACUAAGAGACAAAAAAUAAAUGAUACACAUUAACCAAUCAAAGGCGAACAAGAGAUUAUUAACAAUAACCUAAUAAUAAAAUUAUAAUGAAUAAAAAAGAAAUGGUACCUAGAAACACAUCACAGCCAUUUAAGCAAUCACUUACCCACAAAAUCCAAACAUAUAAACUAUGUGGGGGGGGGGGGGGGGGGGGGGGGUGUCAUGAUACCUUUGGGUUUCAUGAUAAUCAAAAUUGCAAUACCAUUAAAGACUCAAAAAUAAAAAAAAUCAUAGCCAAUAAAAGAGAAAAAAUAACCCACAAAAAAUCAUCAAGAAAAUAAAUUUGAGACUAAGAGAAGAUAUUAAUUAAACCCUGGGUUGCCUUGGAACCACGGCUUUGGCUUCCAUUUUUCAAUUCUUGGCGACAAGUCAUUUCUUGUUUGUUUACAAAGAUGACGGCUGAUUAAUGAAGCUCUAUUAACAAUGAAUAAAUAAAAAAACUGGCGCCUUGAAAAGACUAACGGUCAUAUUUUUCAACUCCGAAUUAGUGCCGUUUGAUGAGUCCUUGCCAAAACAAUCACUAGGCAAAUAACAAUCAUUUUUCAACCAGCAAAACUCAUUCAUUGUAUUUCACCUUAGUCAAGAUUUAAAAAUUGUUUCAAAAUAAACCUAGUGGUUAGAACCCAAGCGUCACAAUUGUGAGGUCAUGGGUUUGAGCCCCCACAACGUAUUGUGGGGGUUAAUUUUCUUCUUCAAUUUGAGUGAAAACAGUUCUCUCCCUUUCGAAAUGUGGGUGGAGUGGACGUCCCUCAAAUAUUAGAGAGGGUUCAAAUUUGGAUUGUACUAUAUAAGAUUUAUAAAUUAGUCCCAGUAAUUAUCUGAUUGUAAAUAUCAAUAUACUAAUCUAAUUAAAUAUGAGUUGUAAUAUGAGCGUUAGUCUCAUGUAAUUAAAAAAAAAAUGUUUCAAAAUAGGAUUCUUAAAAGGUUGGGGAAAUGGCCAUCAAUAUCCCCAACUUUCCAAAAAGAGACACCAAGACCCAUUUUGACCAUAAUACCCUUUACUUCUAUUAUCCCCAAAAAAUUGACUCUAAUGUUUUAUAAUAAAUAAAAAUAUAACAUUAAAAUAAAUGUAAUAGUAUAUACAUUUUAAAAUAGUUUCAAUAUCUAAAAACCAUUUUAAUAUUUUAAAUCCUAUUAUAUAUAUAUUAAAGUAAAUUUUAUAAUAAAUAGAAUCAUAAUAUUGAAAUAAAUGCAUUAAAAUUUAAAUUAUUUUUAAUAUUAUGUAAAAUAAUAAUUUUAUCAUUAUAAGUAUAUGAGAAUUUUUUUAAUUGUAGAAUGUAUUUAAUGCAAAUAUUUAUUUAAAAUCUCUACAAUAAAUAAAAAUAUACUAUUAAAACAAAUCUCUACAAUAUAUACAUACAUACAUAUACAUUGGCCUGGUAUUUUAUUUUUCAUUUUUUAAACUUAUUAAAUCCUCUAACUAUCAUUUGAUUAUUUUUUUCAAUGAUGAAGAGGCCAUUGCCGGAUAAAUUAUUAAAAUCAACUAGUUCUACAAGAAUGUCCCUUUUUAAAGGAAGAUGAUUCUCUCUCUCGAAAUUUUUUAUCUUGUGCUACAAACUAAAAACUUAUGCCAUUUCAUUAACCACAGAGAUCUUUGAGGAAAUGAUGCUUCGCCCCCCCCCCCCCCCCCCCCCCCCCCCCCCCCCCCCCGCGGCGCCAAAAAGUGUCCUUCCAUAUUUUGUGAAGGCUAAUACAUCGAUGAAUCUAGAUUUCUUUAAAUUUUUUGUUUUACUCAAUUCGAGAUAAUAAAUAGUUUAUCUUUAUUAAAUCUUUACUUUAACAAUGAUAGAUAUUCAAUCCAUGCAAAUAUCUAUCAUUGUAUGAGCUGAUUGCGUGGAGGGAGCGGUAAUUGAAAUCUAAUUGAAAACAGCAGAAGGCUGUUCUUGACAGAUCUCAAAUAUAUUACGGACACGUUGGGAGACAUCUCUAUCAUAGAUAUCCCCAUGCAGUGAUAUUUGUCGUGAUCUAAUUUUUAGUAAAUCUGUAAGAGAGAUUGUAACAUCUUUCAAGUUUUUUGGUUUGAUAUUCUAGACGAAAACGGUUUGUCGUUUCUUGAGCAAACGGCUAACCGUUUAAGUCCAGAGAGCAUGUUUGUUGUUCUGGAUAAAACGGCUCACCGUUGUUGCGAAAACGGCUAACCGUUUAACUCAAGAGAGCAUGUUUUAUGUUCUAGAGAAAACGGCUCACCGUUAUUGAGAAAACGGCUAACCGUUUAUUUACAGAGAGCAACGUAUUUGAUAUUCUGGAAUAAAAUGGCUCACCAUUUAUUGAGAAAACGGCUAACUGUUUAUUUCCAGAAAGGCGUCAAUUAGAAAAACGGUUAGCAAGAAUGAAAAUUUCAAUUGACAAUCGAUGCAAAUUCAAACCAAAAGAGUGUCUUCGAAAAAGUACCAUUUCUAAUGGUUGUAUUCUUUCAAAUAAACAUCUUCUUCAUUAAAGAAAUACACACAAUUAGAUUGAUAAUCAGAUUUUGACAGGUUUCUUAUAUGUUCUGGAAAUACAAUCUUAUUUGCUAGAGAUUGUAUUCAGGAUUUGUUAUAUCUUGGGGGUAAUUUGCCAUUAAAACUAUAUAGCAAACCAAGAUUGGUGAGGGCAAAUAAAACCUUAAAGGAAAGUAUGCAAACACGUCUCAAAUCCUAUGAAACUUUCUUUGUUCUUUGCCUCCAUAUUCUUAUUAUUCACUAACAAAAUCCCCAUGCAGUGAUAUUUGUCGUGAUCUAAUUAUUAGAAAAAUCUAUGAUUUCGCUACUGUAAUAAAAUUUGUCACUACUCUACAUUAAUCUAAAUGUCUGAUGAGAUUUGUAAUUGCUUCCGACGGGAAAACAGUUAAUAGGUUGAUUGAAUGUAUGUGGUAAAGAUUCCACGUAUCUCACGACAGAAUGCUGACCACUGGAACCCUAUCUACUUUUACGCGAUUAAUUCACGAGCUUAGGCACGACAAUUGCAAUACAAAUUAUCCCUUCAUCAUAUAUUUCGUUAAAAUUCAUUCUGAAGCACUAAAACUAAACAAUCGAAUAUGGCUUUGAGGGUCGAUGAUGCCAGCAGCAAUGAGAGUGCAAUUAUCACUUGUUUAGUUUCUGUGCUUGCCGUGGCUUAUUUAGCAUGGAAUGUGAAAAAAUCAAGGAAAGCAAAUGCUAAACUGCCACCAGGACCUCGCGGCUUGCCUGUAGUCGGAUACCUCCCAUUUCUCGGGACUACUGACUUGCACAAGAAAUUCACGGAAUUUAUUUUACUAUUAUAUUUAUAUUCAAAAUAAUUUUAAUUAGCUUUUAAAAUGAAUGAUUUUAGGAAAUUAUAAAUAAAGGUAACUAAGAAUUCUCUUAAUGUAAUAUAUUAUUAAUUAGUUUAAAAAUACAAAUUUAUUAAUUAGAGAAAUUAUUAGUGAAUUUAAAUUAAUGAUCUUAAUGAUUUGUUUGUACGAUUGCCCCCAAUCAAAGGUAAUUUUCCUAAAAAUUAUUAGGAAAUUAGAGAAAUUUAAUUUUUUUAGUGGGUUCAAUUGCCCACACACCCCGACUGAAGCAUUUUUUACAAUAUGUACUCCGUUUGUCGGCAGGAAAAUAAAGGUCUUGACACAUGAUCACUUCACUCCUUUAUUUACUUUGCUAACGCAGAUUUUGAGGUAUUAAAACAAAUAAUAAUUGAAUAUGACUUUGUGGGUCGACGACGCCAGCAACGAGGAGACCGCCAAUUAUCACAUUUUAAGUUUGCUGUAAUUGCCGUUGUUUUAUAUUAGUAGAAUAUUAGUGAUAAGAUAAUUGUAGAGUUUUCAUUUUUUUAAUAUUAAAAUCAAGUCAAUUUAUUAUAAUAAAUUUAGUUGAAUUUAAUCGUAUUACCACAUAAAUUGAAUAAUAAUAGAAUUCUCGACAAUAUUUCAAUAUUUUAAUCUCAAGCAUUGGAGUGGCAUUUAUUUGUUAUACGGUCGAUUUUAGAAUUUAUAAAAUUAUUCGUUGCUGAAUUGCACCAUAUGCUGCAUAACCUGAAACUUAAUAAACGGAACGUAGCGUUGGCACCGUUACUCAACAUUCACUGUUACGACUUUGUGACAUUAGAAUUAAAAUCUUUUCCACAUUUAAUUUGUUUACUUCCAACUUAAUAUUUAACAAAAUGUAUGUUAGCAUUGUAUGCCAUAUCAUCUGUAAUUUUGUCAGGAUCGAUCAUUCUAAUUUUUAAGCAGAACUUUUUGUCAAUGGACAAACACCUCAUACAGCUUGUCAGAGGCAUUAGUAUGAUGUAAAAUUGUAAUGGUAUAUCUUGAAUUAUUUUAGAAUAGUGAAUAACUAUUUGGAGCAAUAAAAACAAAUAAGACAGAUGAGAAAAUGGCUAAAAUUAUAUAAGUGACCCAAAAUUUUUUGCUAUUUCCAAGAAAUCCCCAAUCUGAAUGGACCAGAGGGAGGCAAGUUAGAAAUACAUUUCCUUCAUAGACAAUAACAACGAUGAGUGGAUGACAUCAAACCACGUUGGUAUCAAUAUUGAAAUAAAGGUGCAAUUAUUCAGCCAAUGAGCCUUAGUACACAUCAAGAUAUAUAAAAGUCAAGAAAAUGAAAAUUUAUCCCAAUUAAAACUCUUUCUGGCUGCAUUUAGCUGUUUCUGUUUAGGGAUGGCAAUUUAAUCCGGACCCAGCCCGACCCGGAUGAAUCCAGAAAAUUCGGGGUGGAUUCAACCCGUACCGGAGUGAAUAAAAUCUGAUAUUCAAAUUCAAUAUUUUCAACCCGGACGUUUCCGAGUCCGGAUCCGGAUUUGGGUAAACCCGCAUAUCCGGAACCCGGAUCCGGAUAACUAUUUUAAUAUUAAUUUUUAAAUCAUUUUAAAAUAAAAAAAAAUUAGAAAAAAUCAGCCCUAAUGCCCUUCCACAGCCACGGCAGCCAAACCAAACCCAGACAUUUCCUCUCUCUCUCUUUAGCCCUUCUUUUCAACAAAUCAUCAUCGUUGCUCAUCAUCGUUUCGUCGUGUUCAUCUUCAUCUUCAUCAUCAGCUGCCGUUUGUCCAGCUAUGUCACUAGUUUUGGCCGCCGUUUCCGUUUGUGCACCUUCGCAAAUCGGGAUCUCGAUUUGGCCGCCAACACUUCUACCCCCUGGUGUUUUGCUUUGUCCUCGACAACUUCUUUGUUGAUAAAUUGACGGGCACUUAUGAAUGCAUUUGUCUCUGUUUCUUCAUUUACACCUUCCCAGUUGUUUGUUCAUUUGCUUUUUGGAAGGAAAAAAAAAAAAAAUCAGCCACCAUUUAUCCUUCCCCUUUUCUUGACCUAACCCCACAAAGCCCAAUUUGUCAUCAUCAUUCAUUGGCAAAUUUGUUAUCAUCAUGGUUGAGACAUCAUGAUUAUCUUUGAUAAUUGAAUUUGUGUAAUAUGUUACCUUGGAUUUUAUUUCUAAGUAUUUGAUUUUGAAUUAUUUUCCAUUAUUGGUGUUAAUAGAUAGAAGAUUAGAAAGGAAUUCUUCACUGAAUAAAGAGAUGGGAAAUUGCAUCUUUUAGCAAUCAUCCGGGUUAUAAACCCGGAAUCCGGAAACCAGGAUUUUUCCGGGUUUAACCCAGUCCGGACCCGAAUGAAAAAUAUCCGGGUUUACAUCCGGGUCUGGUAUUAAAAUUUAUCGUCCGGAUCCGGAACAGGGAAGACAAAACCCGGACCCGAACCCACAUUUUGCCAUCCCUAUUUCCAUUUGAAGUUAACAACAACGUUUCUUUCGUUUUGUGGGCGACUUGACUGAGCCAGCUGGAUUCUAGUGCUAGUAUGUGAAAAUAGAAGGCUAAUGAUUUCACGUUCACUAGCCCACCUCCCCUCCUCUCGUUUCCUCUGAAUCAAUUUUCACGUGUGGUACCGAUUGAAAAUAUCUCUGACAUUUCGUGGACAUCUCUAUUGAAAAUAUCUCAGACAUUUCACUCAGGCAAACUUAUUAAUAUAAAAAAUCUAUGAUUUUUUCGUCUUAUACUGUAGAAAAAUUUGUCUAUACAUUAAUCUAGAUGUUUGAGGUGGUUUAUACAUCUGUGGUAUAGAUUUAUAGGUUGAUUGAUACGUCUGUGGUAUAGAUUUUAUGUAUUUCAUUAUCAAAUGCUGGCCUUUGGGACCCUAUCUACAUCUAUUUAUAAAACUAACGGGUGCCAGUUAUGCCAUUACAAAUUAUCCCCUCUUCAUACAUUUCCUUAAAAUUCUUCUGAAACACCAAAACUAAAUAAUCGAAUAUGGCUUUGCGGGUCGAUGAUGCCAGCAACAAUGAGGCUGCAAUUAUCACUUGUUUAGUUUCUAUGCUUGCCGUGGUUUAUUUCGUAUGGAAUGUGAACAAAUCAAGGAAAGCAAAUGCUAAACUGCCACCAGGACCUCGCGGUUUGCCUGUAGUCGGAUACCUCCCAUUUCUCGGAACUACUGACUUGCACAAGAAAUUCACGGAAUUAUCCGGAGUUUAUGGUCCGAUCUUCAAGCUCUGGCUCGGAAAUAAAUUAAGUGUCGUGGUGAGCUCACCUUCCCUAGUUAAACAAGUGGUUCGUGAUCAAGAUACAACAUUCGCAGACCGUGACCCGCCGAUCUCAGGACUAGUGACCUCCUUUGGUGGCAAUGAUAUUACAUGGUCCAAUUACGGUCCCGAAUGGAGAAAGUUGCGCAAAUUUUUUGUGGGCAAGAUGAUGAGUAACGCAAGCCUUGAUGCUUGUUAUGCUUUAAGAAAACAUGAGGUUAAAAAUACUAUCAGGGAUUUGUAUAACAACGGCAACAAAAUUGGUAAGCCCAUUGACAUUGGUGAAUUGUCGAUUUCAACAUUGGUAUGUGCUAUGCAGAACAUGCUGUGGGGUGAAGCGCUUGAAUUAAAAGAGAAAGGGACAACUAAUCUUGGGGUUGAGCUAAAAUUUAAGUUUGCAGAACUCAUGGUGCUACUGGGAACACCGAAUAUUUCGGAUAUCUUUCCAAUGCUUUCUUGGCUCGACAUACAAGGUAUAGAGAGGAGAGCAAAGAAGAUUUCACUCUGGUUUGAAAAAAUUAUAAAUUCUACUGUUGAAAAGUAUAGAAGCAAGGACUUUAAUGUUGAAGGUAAAGAAAGAGCAGGGGAAAAUUUUGAAGGAUCAAGGAACAAGAACUUCUUGCAGUUACUAUUGGAGCUUCAAGAAAAUGAAGACGGUUCUUCCUCAAUUAGCAUGAACCAAUUUAAGGCCGUACUCGUGGUAUGUUAAGAAACUAGCCGCAAACAGUUAUACAAGCACAGCUGUAUAUUUUGCAUGAGUGAUAUUUUCAACCUUUUUUUUUUAUAAUUAGAAUUUUAUUGUAACCUUUUGGACAGGAUAUAAUUACGGCUGGAACCGACACCACAACUACGAUGGUGGAAUGGACAAUGGCAGAGUUGAUGCAGCAUCCACAAAUAAUGAAGAAAGUUCAGGAAGAAUUAGCUCAAGUUGUGGGCAUGGACAGUUGUGUUGAAGAAUUUCAUUUGCCUAAAUUGAAAUAUUUAGAUGCUGUGGUGAAAGAAUCGUCUCGUCUGCAUCCUGCAGUGCCUUUAUUACUACCACGCAGAGCAAGCGAGAGUGGCAGCAUUGGUGGCUAUAACAUUCCCAAAGAUACAACUAUUAUGUUGAAUGUUUGGGCAAUCCACAGGGACCCUAAACUUUGGGAUAAUCCCUUAGAAUUUCGACCCGAGAGGUUUCUAGAUGAUGGUAUCGCGAGUAAGUUCGAUUACUCAGGUAACAAUUUUCAGUACUUGCCAUUUGGUUCUGGUAGAAGGAUGUGUGCUGGGAUUCCUCUAGCUGAGAGGAUGCUGAUGUUUGUUUUGGCUUCGUUAUUGCACUCAUUUGAGUGGGAAUUGCCAGCUGGCACAAAGCUAAACUUAUCUGAAAAAUUUGGGAUUGUCAUUAAGAAAAAAGAGCCUUUAGUUGCUAUUCCAACACCAAGACUAUCCAAUUCAGAGCUCUACCAUUAAGACAGAAUGGUUGUGAUGAUUUUGUUAAUUUCCGAAGAUUUGUAUGUUAUGUCAAGUUCAAUCGUAAUAAAAUAUUUCAAAUAAGAGUCCUCCGUUGCUUUUUUUUUUUUUUUCAACCGCAUAAUCUGUCGUCAUGCUUGUAUUUGGGGCUACUUUGGAAUAAUUAUGUUUGAAUUACAAUAUAUAAAUAUUACAUUUUAAAAUUUUAUGAGAUUCUAAAUUUAUACACGUUCAAUAACCCACUUCAUAUAUGUUUAACACAAUUUAUAUCAUACAUUGUAUACCCAUUUGUCAUAAAUUACGCUAUUUUAUAUCUCUAAAUAAUAUUACAUAUUGAUAUUAUAAAAUGUUGUUAACUCACGUGUGUAUAUAUAUAUAGCAAGUCACGUGCAUAUAUUAUUGGUUGUUAUAUGUUUGCUAGUUUGAUAGGAUUUCCUUUCCUUGUGAACUAGGGUAAUUCUUAUGUACAUAUAAAUAUUGAUCAAUAAGAGUGCAGAUGAUGACUGCAGUUUUGCAUCGUAGAAAUUCUUCGUAAAAUAUAUAUGUUUAUCAAAAGGCUAUACCAUUCAAUAUAUAUUGGAAAGAGAACAAAGAAGAUCUUCUUAUGGUUUGAAAAUAUUAUGAAUUCUGCUGUUGAACAGUAUGGAAACAAGGUCUGUUGUUAAAGGUGAAGAAGUCACAGGGAACAAUAUUGAAGGAAGAAAUUUCACGUUUAGUUGCUGAAUUUGCCGCUGUAUUCUAUCGGUAGUAAAAAGAUUAGAGUUUUUAUUUUUCUCUAUUAAUGUUAAGUCAAUUUUCUAUAACAAAUUCGGUUGAGUUUAAUUGUGUUACAAUAUAAAUUGAAUGAUAGUAGAAUUUUCAACGAAUAAUUCAAUAUUUCUAUCUCGAUUGUUGAAGUGCCAUUUAUUUGUUAUACGAUCGAUUUUAAAAUUUAUAAAAUUAUUUGUUACUAAAUUGCAUCAUAUGCUAAAUCACCUGAAACCUAAUUUCAUAACUAACCCUUUAUUUUUAGUUCUCAAGAAAUCUUGUAAGAACAAAAUUCUUUUGUAACAAAACGUUUACAACAAAUUAAUUUGUAACUCAUUCCUGUGCGAGAAUCACUCUCAAUUUCCUUCAAUUGCUGUUUAACAAUCAUCUGCUUAUCAAAAUUCAAGCAUAAUCUUUUUUUUUAAUUUCUUCAUCAUUCUUUUGAAAAAAAAAAUCAGGAUAUGCUGUUAAAUUUUGAAAUAAAUUAUCUCAAAAUAAUUACUAACCAGAAAAAACAAAGGGGUUUAACUAGGUUAUGCAUACCUUUGAAAAUUAUAUGUUGAUCGAUAAGAAUGAUGAUCACGAUUGACGAGUUUAAUUAAAAUAUAUAAGAUUUUAAAAUUAAUCAGGGUUAAAUUGUGAAUUUUAGAAAGAGAGGUUUUGUGAGAAUGUUGAAAGGGUGUUAAUAGUUCCACUCUUUUUAAAAACAACCAUAGUCAUCAUUUUUCCAUGGUUGUUUUUAAAAAGAGUAUUUCUUCUUCCCAUCUCCAUCUUAUUUAGAAAUUUCCCAGAGCCUUUGUUUCCCACCUUUCAUUUUUCUUCUUUCUAAUUUAAUAAUCCACCCUUCUUGUAUUCAAACUAAAAAAUUAAAAUCUGAAAAUUUAAAACCCAAUAUUAUAGUAUUAUAAAAAUAAUUACUCACAUUUUAUCAAACACCUCCAUUCUUCCAAGGCCUUGUUUUAGUAGUAGGCUUUUAUUAUCUCAAUAAAAUUGAAAAAAAAAAUCUCAAUAAUAUUGGAAAAAAACCCUACCCAUAUUUGUAACUUUAAUUUAUUAUUCUCCAUAGACCUACUUUUUAGUUUUGAAUUUUGUUGGAGCCAUAUAUAAACAGAAUAUGUUGAAAUCAGCACCCAAAAAAAAAAAAACUAAUUAUAUAAUUUAUGUUCCCAAGGACAUGGCUGAGUGAUUUUCAAGAAGUUUUGUUUGGCUGGCCACUUAGGUUUAAAUCUUGGUGGAGAUUAAGGGUUAAGAAAUAAAUUUAGACUUUGCACACCCCUUUAACUUUUAAAAAGAAAUGAAAAAAUUAAUUAAUUAAUCUUUAUUUUAUUUAUUAAAUGUCAUAAUCCUAUGCGUAUUUUAUUUGUUAUCUUUCUAUUUAAAAGACGAGGGCAGAUAAAACUGAAAUAAAUUUUUAGCCCUAUCUCCAUAUUUCAAGUUCCAUAGUUAGGUGACCAGCUAAAAAAAAUUAAUUGAAAGCUACUCCAUCAAAUUAAAAAAAUUUAUUUAUUUAAUUUGUGGAGAUGUAGAAAAUCAAACCCCAUACCUUUUCGCAUACACUGAACAUAUUUUAAUACAUGACUAUCAUCCUUUAUCCUAAAUACUACUAUAACUAAUAACAUACAAUUGAAAUAAUUAAUGUUAACACUUGGCUAUAAAUAAAGGUUUUGUGCUUGAAUCUUCACGCAUGACCUUCAUUCCUUUAUUGACUUUGCUAACACAGAUUUUGAGGCAUUAAAACUAAAUAAUAAUUGACUUUGUGGGCCGAGGAUGCCAGCAACAAGGAGACCACAAUUAUCACUUAAGUUACUCUAAUUGCCGUUGUCUUAUAUUCAUAGAAUAUUAGUAAUAAGAUUAUUGCAGAAUUUUUUUAAUAUUAAAAUUAAGUCAAUUUGUUAUAACAAAUUUAGUUGAGUUUAAUCGUGUUACUACAUAAAUUGAAUAAUAAUAGAAUUCUCGACAAAUAUUUCAAUAUUUUUAUCCCAAGCGUUGGAGUGGCAUUUAUUUGUUAUACGAUCGAUUUUAGAACUUAUAAAAUUAUUCGUUACUGAAUUGCACCAUAUGCUGCAUGACCUGAAACUUAAUAAACGGAAUGUAGCGUUGGCACCGUUACUCAACAUACUGUUACGACUUUGUGACAUUAGAAUUAAAAUCUUUUGCACAUUUAAUUUGUUUACUUCAAAAUUAAUAUUUAACAAAAUAUUUUUUUCACAUUAUCAAUGGACAAAACUCCAACGAAAAUAACUACACAAGAAAAAUGUAUGCUAGUAUUGUGUGCCAUAUCAUCUGUAAUUUUGUCAGGAUCGAACACUCUAAUUUUUAAGCAGAACUUUUUAUCAAUGGACAAACACCUCACACAGCUUGUCAGAGGCAUUAUUAUGAUAGAAAACUGUAAUGGUAUAUCUUGAAUUAUUGGUAGAAUAGUUCUUUGGAGCAAUAAAAAUAGAUAAGACAGAUGAGAAAAUUGUCAAUACCCCACCGCAAAAGCAAAAGAAAAAAAGGAAAGGAGACAAAAGAGGAAGAAGAAAAAAAGGAAAGGAGACAAAAGAGGAAGAAGAAAAAGAAAAAAGAACGAAGAAAAAAAUGGUGCCGCGCUGUAUUGGGAAGAAGAAAAAAAUUAAUAAAAUAAUAAUAAAUAAUAAAUAAUAAAUAAUAAAAUAAUAGUGCACAACAAUCAUUUGAUUGCUAUAAAUAAAGGGGCAUUUUCCUCAUUUUAUUCAUCGAAUUCUUCAGUUCCUUUCAAGCGAUUUAAGAGUCUAGUGAUUUGAGAGUUUGGGAGUAUUGUGAUUUUGAGUACUAAGUUAAAAUACUAUAAUACUUGUAACUCAUUUUCACUAGUAAAAUAUUUUUCUUCUGUCUUCGCCCGUAGACGUAGGCUAAAAGCUGAACCACGUAAUUUCUGGUGUCCCUAUGUGAUUAUGUGUCUCAUUAUUUCUCAAUUUUACUUUAGUUACGUGUCUGCUACACCCUUCAAUUUACUAACAAAAAUGGCCAAAAUUAUAUAAGUGACCCAAAUUUUUUUGCUAUUUCCAAGAAAUCCCCAAUCGGAAUAGACCAAACUAGAGGGAGGCAAGUUAGAAAUACGUUUCCUUCAUAAACAAUAACAGCGAUGAGUCGAUGACAUCGAGCCACGUCGGUAUCAAUAUUGAAUUAAAGGUGCAAUUAUUCAGCCAAUGAGCCUUACACAUCAAGAUAAAAGUCAAGAAAAUGAAAAAUUUAUCCUAAUUAAAACACUUUCUGGCUGCAUUUAGCUGUUUCUAUUUGAAGUUAAAAACAACAUUUCUUUCGUUUUGUGGGCAACUCGACUGAGUUCGCUGGCUUCUAGUGCUAGUAUGUGAAAAUAGAAGGCUAAUGAUUUAUUUGUUAUCUUUUGACAAAAAAUGUUAAAGAUAUAAUAGAUUUUCCAUGAUACAAAUGAAAAAUUAUAUCAACAUAACUUCCAAGCUACAGCAGCUAGUGUUUACCAAACACUUUGCUGUAGCUUUUAAGCUACAGCUGCCCAACCUCAAUAGGUUGAUUGAAUUUGUGGGAUAUAGAUUCCACAUAUCUCAUGACCUAUUAAUUAUACAAGUGGUUCUUGAUCAAGAACAACAUUUGCUUCCGACCCAGUAACCCAGCAACUGCUGCACUGGUCGCCACCUAUGGUGCCGACGAUAUUGCAUGGUCCAAUUAUGGCCUUGAAUGGAAAAAGUUGAGCAAAUUAUUUGUGGGCACGAUGAUAAGUAACGCAAGCCUUGAUGCUAGUUAUGGUCGAAGAAAACAAGAGGUUAAGAAUACUAUCAGAGAUAUGCAUAACAACAAAAAGGAAAAAAAAAAAAAAAGGCAUUGGCAAGUCAAUUGAUAUUGCUGAAUUGUCGAUUUCAACUUUGGCAUGUGUAAUUCAGACAUUGCGCGUUGUGGUAUGGCGCUGGCACGCUUGCAUUGCCGAGAGGACAAAUCUUGGGGCUGGGCUAAAAUUUAGGCUUGUAGAACUCAUGGUGCUAAUGGGAACGCCAAAUUUUUUUAACAUAUUUCGGUGCUUUCAUGGUUUAAUUCAAGGUAUAGAAAGGAGUGUUGAGAAUGUCAAAUAAAACGACAUUGAAUGGAAGUUGUCAAAGACAUGAUCCGCACUGAACGGCAAUGACACGGUUGGUAAAGAUUUUUUCAUAAUAUGCGUAUCUAAUUUUUGAAAAAUUGUAACCUCUGCUUCUAUAAAUAUGCUCAAUGUAUAAUGUUUUACUUAAGAAAUGAAAAACUUAAUUCUUUAUGGUAUCAGAGCGAGGCUCGUUGCUCUGUUUGUAACAAAAACAAAGAAAACUAAAUUCUUCCCACAACUAUUUUUCCACCUUUUUUUCUUCCUUAAAAGCAUUCCUAGCAUUACAGAAACCCAUGCCAAUAAAAGAACAAGCCACACAUAUGUAAAAACUUUAGUUUACAAAUCUAUCAACAUCCCCAUAAAUUUUCCCAAAAAGUGAUCUUCAAAAACCAAAAAUACCAUCAAUUUUCGCAUCUUCUAGUAAACAAACUAUAAAAGUUUCGCACUCAAACAGAGCCACACGCGCCUCCACGCGCUUCCCGGAAUCACGGCCAACCACCACGCGCCUCUGUCACCACCAACUCACCCUCAUGCGCUCCAGAUGUUGCAGAAGACGCAAAACGACGUGUCGUUUUCUUCUCUAAAAGUGCAGCAACGUGGAAAUGACUUUUUGUUUUUGCCUUAAAUUGUUUUUCCUCGUUUGAAGCUAUACAACAUUUUUCUUUCUAAACCUGUUUUUUACAAUAAAAAAAGAAAAAAAUGGAGAAAACUCCAACUGAAUCUACUCAUGUUGUCAUUCAAUCUGUUCAACCUGAUGGAGUAUUUAAUGCCGAAAUUAUCCUUACUAAGACAAACUACGAUAUUUGAUCUCAAAUAAUGGAGAUGCAUCUCGCAGAAAGAAAAAAACUCCCAUAUAUUCGUAGCAGCAUAAAUCCAUCUGACAAAUUUUCAAAGAAAUAUGAGAAAUGGUAUAGUGAGAACCAAAAAGUAAAAAGAUGGUUACUCAUAACCAUGUGUCCUGAGAUCAUGAAGCGAUAGUUACAAAUUCCUACAGCCUACGAAAUUUAGAAUGCAUUAUCAAAAGCCUUUUAUAAUGGAAGCGAUGAAAUACAAGUUUUCACUCUAAAUCAGAAGGCGUUCUCUACGAAGCAAAAUGGACAACCACUCUCUAAAUUCUACGGAGAAUUGAUCAAAAUGUUUCAAGAACUUAAUCACCGAGAUAAAGUGGUCAUGAAGGAUCCAGAAGAUGUUAUAAUAUAUAGGAAGUUUGUUGGAAGAUUGAGAGUGCACAUUUUUCUUGCUGGACUAGAUGAAGAAUUUGACCAAGUUUGUGGAGAAAUUCUACGAAAAGAUACUAUCCUAGACUUAAAAGAAUGUUAUUCUCUAAUCCGAAAAGAAGAUGUACGGCAAAGCAAACUAACAAGAAGGUGGACGACUCAGAAACGUCUGCUAUGAUACCACAAGAGAACAAUGUUUUGAAAUUGUUCGAUAUCCUGACUGGUGGGAUACUCGAAGUAAUAACACAAAGCAGAGAUAAAAAACUGCAGUAGCUGAAUCCACAUCCACUACAGAUCUUAGAAAAGAAUCUUCAGCGCAAAUUGCAACCUCUGUCAAUUCAGGUAAGGUCAUUAAAACUCUUACAUUUGUUAUUAAUAGUAUAUGGAUAAUUGAUUAUGGUGCAACUGAUCAUAUGACUUUUGAUUCUUGACAAGUUUCUUAAUUGAAACCAUCUUCACAUAAACAUGUUUCUACUGUAAAUAGAACCACAACCUCAGUUAUUGGGGAAGGAUCUUUACAACUCACAAUUAAAUCAAAUUUAGACUUUGUGUUAAUUGUUCCAUCUUUAAAUUAUAAUCUUUUAUAUGUGUCUCAAAUAACCUCUUACUUAUCAUGUGUUGUAAUGUUUUGGCCCGAUCAUUGCAUGUUUAAGGACAUCCAAAUGAAGGAAACGAUUGGUUAUGAUAUUAAAUAAGGCAACUUGUAUUACCUGGAGAUGACAUCAACAAACACUGAAAAGCUAAGCCCCGCAUUAGUAGCAGACAAUUCCAUGAAAAAAAAGGAAAUAAGAAAUUUGGUUAUGGCAUAGACGAUUAGGGCAUGUGUCAUUUGAUUUCUUAAAAAAAUUGUUUCCUAGUUUGUUUCUGAAAUUUGAUAUUUGUAACUUUAAAUAUGAUGUUUGUGAACUUUCAAAUAGCCAUCGAACUACUUUUCCAUUGUCCUUAAAUAAGAAUCCAAUUCCUUUAAUGGUAGUACAUUCUGAUGUAUAGAGACCAUCUAAAGUUUCUACCAUUGGAAGAGCUCGUUGGUUUGUUACAUUUAUUGAUGAUUGUAGCAGAAUGACAUGGAUUUUUUUAUGAAAUUAAAAUCAUAUGAUGGUGACAACUCUAUUUCAGACACAAAUUUGAGUUCUACAUACUGAUAAUGGAGGCGAGUAUAUGAGCACAACAAUUCAACAGUUUUUGAAAUCACAAUGAACUCACCACCAAACCACUUGUGUGGGGACACUCCAACAAAAUGGCGUUGCUAAACAAAAAAAUAGACAUUUACUAGAAGUUGUUCAAGCAUCACUAAUUUAGGCCCGCAUGCCACUAUUUUAUUGGGGAGAAGCAUUGGCAUCCGUAGCAUACUUGAUCAAUCGGACACCUUCAAUCUUCCUUGGAUUCCAAACUUAUUUUCUAGUUCUAAAUGAAGAAUUAUGUCAUCAAAUGUGUCGAAUUUACCCCCACAUAUGUUUGGUUGUGUUGCCUUCGUUCAUUUGCCAUGACAAGAUAAAUUAUCUCCUCGAGCACUACGUUGUGUGUUUGUAGGGUAUGCCUUACAUCAAAAGGGGUACCGAUGCUAUCAUCCUCUAUUAAGAAAAAAUAUACAUCACCAUGGACAUAAUCUUUCAUGAAGAUAUCAUGUAGUACCCAUCGGAGCUUGAAUUUCAGAGGGAGUAUAAUGAAGAGGAAAUUCAUACUCUUACAUAUCUUUCACCUGAAGAAGAUCAAUCCUCCAUUGAGGUAGUAAACGUUCAAGAUACUGGAAAAGAAAACGACAAUGAUUCUCAGGCUGAGACAAGUGAAGACACAUUUAGGGAGCAAAAUAACUCAGACAUAACCACAAUCGAGAACGAGUCCAUGAAGAGCCACAUGAAGAAAUAUCUAACCAAUCAUCUGCAGAGGAUGAUCCUACCACAAAUCCCAGUCUAAUCAGAAGAAUACUUCCCCAGCAUCAAAAUAGAGGUAUCUCUAAACCCACAUAUAAGACUGACCUCUCUAGUAGAGUCAAAUACCCUAUGAGUCAUUUUGUAUCUAACCAUGGCUUAUCAAAAUCAAAUCAGUCAUUUGUGAAUCAAUUAUCUACUGUGUCUAUUCCUAACAGUGUGCAAUAAGCCUUAAAAUAUCGAAAGUGGAAAGGGCUAUGAAUGACGAAAUGAGAUCUCUUUAAAAAAAAUCAAACAUGGGAACUAAUUGAUCUUCCACCAGGAAAGAAACCAGUGGGUUGCCGAUGGAACUAGUUGAUCAUCCACCUCCAUUCUGACAAGCAAUGUUUAUCAGCAAUAACAAAUGACUGAAGCAUUUUAAUGAGGUUAGUAACGAAAAAGAGUUUAAUUAGAGAAUAUUAUAAGAGAAAUUCUAAUUUUUGAUUUUUAAUAAAUUAAAAUAUCUUAAAAUAUUAUUAGUUGGUGGUGGUUUCAUGUCAGAUUAAGACGUGACACCUUACUAAUGAGGUCGAGACAAUUAGCUUAAAUUAUUUCAAUGCAUUUGAAAUUUCCACUAAUGACUAUAAUUCUUUGUCCUAAUUACUAUGAUAAUUAAUAACAUACAAUUGAAAUAGUUAAUAUUAGCACUUGGCAAUAAAUAAUUAAAUUUCAUUAACACUAAAUAAUAAUUGAAUAUGGCUUUGUACAUCGAUGACGCCAGCAACAAGGGGACCGCGAUUAUCACUCUUUAAGUUGCUUUUAAAAUUGAUUUUAGUAGUGAUAUGAUUAUUGUAGUGUUUUUAUUUUUUAUAUUAAAAUUAAGUGAUUUGUUAUAAUAAACUUAGUUGAGUUUAAUGGUAUUACUACAUAAAUUGAAUAGUUAUCAAAUAUUUUAAUAUUUUUAUGGCAAGCGUUGACGUGGCAUUUAUUUGUUGUAUGAUGGAUUUUAAAAUUUAUAAAAUUAUUUGUUAUUAAAUUACCCCCAGAUGCUACAUCACCUGAAACUUAAUAAAGGUAUGAAGACAUGUGUGUGUGGACUGAAAUGAAGAAUAUGGAAAAGUUGAGAGCUGUUGUGCAGAUUGAGUUCAGUUGAUGGGGUCUAUUAGAUAUUGUCUGCUGACGUGGCAUGAAUUCGUUAUAAUCUGUUAUAACGAGUUCAGUAUAUCAGUAUACAAUAGAGCUGAUGGAUGGUGCCUGUUUUAGAGUCUUUUUUAUAUUCAUUUGUUCAUCAUUUUGCGCAAGAUCUGUUCCAUUGUGAUAUGUGUAAAGUCUUAUGUAAACCCACUUAUGAUUGGAUUAGUUCUUGAUUAAUAACAACGAGUAAAUUUUCCUUCAAGUGUGCUGGUCUGUGCCCCUGUUUUUUGUUCUGAUAUUGUUUCUUUGUUCUGGCAUUUCAUUUCGAUUGUGUUCUUGGUGUUUCUACUCAUCAAGAUUUAUGAGUCUUGUUGAGAUUAAAGACUUAAUAGUCUUAACAAGUGGUAUCAGAGCCUGGUGAAUCUCAGCCAUGUCUCUUUCGAAGCAUGAAAUUGAAAAAUUCACCAUUGGUGGUGAUUUCUCGCUUUCGAAAUUAAAAAUGAGGGCUCUCCUUGUGCAUUAGAGGCUUGAAUUUGCUCUGGAAAAAGAUAAUCUAGAGGCUGCUACAAGUUAUGUGACUGAUGAUAAGAAGAGACAAAUCCAAAACCGAGCUCGUAGCACUCUAGUUUUGAGUCUUGGUGACUCAAUCUUGAGAAAGAUUUCUGAAGAGAAGACAACCUUAGGGAUUUGGAACAAGGUAGAAGCUUUGUGUACAAAGAAGUCGCUAGCUCACAGACUAUUCUUGAAGAAAAAGUUAUACACAUUCUCGAUGAGAGAAGGAGUCACAAUUCAAGAUCACAUUGAUACCUUCAACAAGAUCAUUCUUGAUCUUGAAGGGGUGGAAAAUGUGACAAUAAGUGAUGAAGAUAAAGCCUUCUUCUUGUUGAGUUCCUUACCAAAGUCUUAUGAAGGCUUUGUAGAUACAAUGCUUUAUGGCAGAACAACAUUGACUCUUGAAGAUGUUAAAGCAUCUCUAAGUUCAAAAGAGAUUCAGAAGAACAAUGAGAUUGAAACAAAUAAUGGUGAUGGGCUGAUUGCCAGAUCAGAAAAGAAGAAAGAUCAGAAGAAUAAAAAUCAGGGAAAAUGACAUGGAAAGAAUUAAGAAAAUGCAGACAAGAAGAAAAAGAAGAGAAAAUGCUUCUACUGCCGGAAGGAAGGGCAUUACAUCAGGGAUUGUCUUAAAAAGAAAAAAAAAGAAAGUCAAGAGAAGUCAGGGGAUGCAGCUGUAGCCUCUGAUGAUGCCUCUGAUGGAUAUCACAUUGCUGAUUUACUUGUGGCCUCAAAUAGCAAUACUAAAGGUCAGUGGGUCAUAGACUCUGAGUGCUCUUUUCACUUGUGGCCUGAUAAAACCAUAUUUUACAAAUAUGAAGUUGUUGAUGGUGGUAGAGUCUUAAUGGGAAAUAAUAAUGUGUGUAAUCUUGUUGGUAUUGGUUCUGUGAAGAUCAAGAUGUUUGAUGGAACUGUAAGAGCUCUACAUGAGGUGAGGCAUGCUCCUAGGCUAAAGAGAAAUCUAAUCUCUUUAGGCAUGCUAGACAGCUUAGGGUAUUUCUUUAAAUCAGAAAGUGGUGGUUUAGAGAUAAGAAAGGGGACUGAGAUAGUGAUGAAGGGGGUUAAAGAAAAUGGCUUAUAUGUAUUGUAAGGCUCAUCAGUGCUUCUUCAAAAGGGAAUUUCUGCUCUUUUUGAGGAAGAUAUAACCAAGUUAUGACAUCUUAGACUUGGUCAUAUGAGUGUCAAAGGGAUGUAAGAGCUCAGCAAACAAGGGCUACUUGGUGGGGAUAGAAUCCAGCAACUGGAAUUAUGUGAAAAUUGCAUUUUUGGCAAAGCUCACAGGUCCAAGUUUCACAAGGGGGAGCAUAUGUCUAAGCAAGUUUUGGACUAUGCACAUGCUGACCUUUGGGGGCCUGCUCAAGUCCCAUCCUUGAGUGGUGGCAGGUAUUUCAUAUCACUAAUUGAUGAUUACUCAAGGAAGAUGUGGGUCUACAUACUCAAGACCAAAGAUCAAGCCUAGGAAAAAAUUCAAGGUAUAGAAAUCUUUGGUAGAAAAUCAAUUUGGAUUCAAGCUCAAAUGCUUGAGAACUGAUAAUGGUUUGGAAUUUUGUAGCAAAGAAUUUGAGGAAUAUUACAAAAAAACAUGGCAUAAAAAGGCACAAAACAGUCAGGUUCACCCCCCAGCAGAAUGGCUUGGCUGAAAGGAUGAACAUGACCUUGGUAGAUAAGACCAGAUGUAUGUUGAUAAAUUCAAAGCUUCCAAGAAGCUUUUGGGCAGAAGCUGUCAAUACAACAAGUUGUUUGGUUAACAGAAGCCCAUAUUCUGCAAUUGGCUUCAAAACACCAGAAGAAUUGUGGAAGGAAAAACCUGUAAAUUACCAAAAUCUCAGUGUUUUUGGAUGCCCUGCUUAUCUCCACAUCAAUCAAGGCAAGCUGGAAGCUAGGGCCUUGAAAGGAGUCUUUGUUGGAUAUCCUGAUGGGGUUAAGGGAUACAUAAUCUGGUGUAGAGAGUAAGGGAAGUGUAUAGUCAGCAGGGAUGUUGUGUUUCAUGAAUUUGGAUUGCUAAAAGAAAAUGCAGAGAAUGAUACUAGACUACAAAAUGAUUCAAUAAUUAUCAAACAAUCUGGAACUUCCAAGGUUAAGGUGGAGCUGUUUGGAAAUAAAGACAGUAGAAAAGAGGUAGCUGAUUAUGAAGAGAGGACCACAGCUAAAGUUGAGGAACAUGAGUCAUCAGAGUUGCCACAAGCUGACUUGCAGACUUAUCAGUUAGCAAGAGAUAGAGUUAGAAGAGAAGUCAAAGCACUAGUGAGGUAUGGCUAUGCUGACUUAAUUACUUAUGCAUUGUUGUGUGCUGAUGAUGUGGCAAUUGAAGAGCCUGCUAACUUCUCUGAAGUUAUUGAAAGUGUGCAUUGUGAUAAGUGGCUUGAGGCAAUGCAAGAUGAAAUGGGAUCCCUUCAAAGAAAUCAGACCUGGACACUUGUUCCAAAUCUAGGUAAUAAAAAGUUGAUCAGUUGUAAGUGGAUCUUCAAGAAGAAUGAAGGAAUUCCAGAUGUUGAACCUCCCAAAUAUAAAGCAAGGCUAGUGGCUAGGGGGUUUACACAGAGAAAGAGUGUAGAUUUCAAUGAAAAAUUUUCCCCUGUUCUUAAGCACAUUUCAAUAAGAAUUUUAUUAGUCAUGGUAGCCUUACUUGACUUGGAGCUUGAGCAAAUGGAUGUAAAAACAGCAUUCCUUCAUGGUAAUCUUGAAGAACAGAUAUUGAUGGCACAACCUAAAUGUUUUGAGUGCAAAGGAAAUGAGGAUUAUGUUUGUUUGCUGCAUAAGUCCUUGUAUGGACUCAAGCAAUCCCCACGACAGUGGUACAUAAGAUUUGAUGAUUUUAUGGUCUCAAAAGGCUAUCACAUAAGCAAAUAUGACAGUUGUGUUUACUUUGGUGGAUCAUAUCAAGGUGGAGUUGCUUAUUUGCUUCUGUAUGUUGAAGAUAUGUUAAUUGCAAGAAAAUAUAAGUUGGAGAUAGAGAGGUUGAAGAAAUGAAGGAUCUCGGCAAUGCCAAAAGAAUCCUUGGGAUGAACAUUACAAGGGGCAGAUCUGCUGACACUUUGUUCUUGAGUCAUGAGAAAUAUAUCAAGAAGGUUCUGGAGAGGUUUGAGAUGCAAGACUAUAAACCUGUCCAAACACCACUUGGUCCCCAAUUCAAGUUGACAGCAGCUCAAUCAUCAGAAGAUGAGUCUCAGGUGAGUGAAUUCCCAUAUGCACAGGUUGUAGGGAGCCUGAUGUAUGUAAUGGUAUGCACCAGGUCAGAUAUAGCUUAUGCAGUAAGUGUUGUCAGCAAAUUUCUCAGUUGUCUAGGCAAGGUUCACUGGAAUGUUGUAAAAUGGAUAAUGAGAUAUCUUAAGGGCUCUUUUACUUGUGGUUUGCUGUAUGGGAAGACUAAGAGUGACAUAAGUGAAGUCCUGGGGUUUGUAGACUCUGACUUUGCUGGAGAUCUUGAUAGAAUGAAGUCAACCUCAGGGUAUAUGUUUGUGUUAAACAGUUGCCUGAUUAGCUGGAAGUCAUCACUUCAGUCUGUGGUUGCUUUAUCCUCAACUGAAGCUGAGUUUGUUGCAACUACAGAGGCAGUAAAAGAGGCCAUGUGGCUAAGAGGUUUGCUUAAUGAGUUAUGGUUAAAUCAGAAAAUUGUUCAGGUUUUCUGUGAUAACCAAAGUGUCAUACACCUGGUAAAGAAUCAGAUGUAUCAUGAAAGAACCAAGCACAUUGAUGUGAAGCUCCAGUUUAUCAGAGAUGAGGUUGGAAAAGGAACUAUAAUUGUGUCCAAGAUCUAUACCAGUGUGAAUCCAACUGAUGUUAUUACAAAAGCACUUCCCACUGCAAAAUUUGAAUUCUAUGUGAAUCUAAUGGGCAUCUCGCCCAAACCUAACUAAAUUCAAUAGUGAAUUGUAGUUGAAUGAAGGUUUUUUAGGUGCUGUGUUAUUGAAAGGAUCAACUGAAUCAACUGCAAGGUGGAGAAUGUGAAGAUGUGUGUGUGGACUGAAAUGAAGAAUAUGAAAAAGUUGAGAGCUGUUGUGCAGAUUGACUUCAGUUGAUGGGGUCUAUUAGAUAUUGUCUGCUGACGUGGUAUGAAUUCGUUAUAAUCUGUUAUAACGAGUUCAAUAUAUCAGUAUAUAAUGGAGCUGAUGGAUGGUGCCUGUUUUAGAGUCUUUUUCGUAUUCAUUUGUUCAUCAUUUUGCACAAGAUUUGUUCCAUUGUGAUCUGUGUAAAGUCUUCUGUAAAUCCACUCAUGAUUGGAUUAGUUCUUGAUCAAUAACGAGUAAAUUUUCCUUCAAGUGUGCUGGUCUGUGCCCCUGUUUUUGGUUCUAAUAUUGUUUCUUUGUUUUGGCAUUUCAUUUCGAUUGUGUGCUUGGUGUUUCUACUCAUCAAGAUUUGUGAGUCUUGUUGAGAUUAAAGGCUUAAUAGUCUUAACAAAAGGGAAUGUAGCAUUGCCAUUAAUCAACAUUCACUCUUAUGACUUUAUGACAUUAGAAUUAAAAUCUUUCGUACAUUUAAUUUAUUUGCUUCCAAAUUAAUCUUUAAUAAAUAUUUUUUCACAUUAUCAUCAAUGGACAAAACUCCAACGAAAAUAACUACACGAGAACAAUUUAUGCUAGUAUUAAAUGCCACGAUAUCUAUAACUUUGUCUGGAUCGAUCAUUCUAAUUUUUUCGCAGAACUUUUUGUCAAUGGACAAACACCUCACAGAGCUUGUCAGCCGCAUUAUUACGAUGUAAAAUUGUACCGGAAUAUCUUGAAUUAUUAGUAGAAUAAUGAAGACUAUUUGGGGCAAUAAAAACAAAUAACGCAGAUAAAAAAAUGGCUAAAAUUAUGUAAGUGAGCCCCAAAGUUUUUGCUAUUUCCAGGAAAUCCCAAAUUUGAAUGGACUAGAGGGAGGCACGUAAGAAAUACAUUUUCUUCCUAGACAAUGACAGCUAUGACAUCAAGCCACGGUGGCGUCAGUAUUGAAAUUAAGGUGUAAUUAUUCAGCCAAUGAGCCUUACACAUCAAGAUAAAAGUCAAGAUAAUGAAAAUUUGGCUGUUUCCAUUUGAAGUUAAAAGCAACGUUUCUUUCGUUUUGUGGGCGACUCGACUGAGCACGCCCCAAUAGCUAUAUUUAGGGCGUCAAUUUGAUAUUUGAAUGGACAGGCAAGUAAGAAAUACAUUUCCUUCAUAGACAAUGACAACGAGGACAUCAAGCCACAUCAUUAUAGUUUGUAGCCCAUCUACAUUUAAACGAUUAAUAAACAAGCUUAGGUGUGCCACUGCUAUUAUUAAUUAUCCCCUGAUCAUUAUAGUUUCUGAAACAGUAAAACUAAACGAAAUUGAAUACAUCAACGAGACCGCAAUUAUCACUUGUUUAGUUGCGGUAUUUAACUUAAUUUUAAUAUAAUAUAUUUGUUAGUUAAACUUUUAAUAAUCAAAUAAUUUUGAUUUAAAAAUAAAAUUAUAGAAAUUAUUAAUUAUUAAUUAUUAAAAAUUCACAAUUAAGGGAACGUUCAUCAAACACACAUAGCUAUUGUUUUCUCUAUAUAUUGCAGUGUGUACGAUAUUGAGGGUUGAAGCCCCAAGCAUGCUCUAAAAUCCAGAUAAUAAUUAGAUCCGGGCCAAAUAUUCAUCAUUGUGUCAGCUGAUCAGUCGGUGGACAUCUCUAUUGAAAAUAUCUCUGACAUUUCACUCGACAAACUUAUUAAUAUAAAAAAUCUGUGGUUUUGCCGUCUGAAUAAUGUAGAAAAAUUUGUCUAUGCAUUAAUCUAGAUGUUUGAGGUGAUUUAUACAUCUGUGGUAAAGAUUUAUAGGUUGACUUAGACGUCUGUGGUAUAGAUUUUAUGUAUUUCAUUACAAAAUGCUGGCCGUUAGAACCCUUUCUACAUCUAUUUAUAAGAUUAACGGGUGCCAGCUAUGCCAUUACAAAUUAUCCCCUCAUCAGAUAUUUCGUUAAAAUUCAUUCUGAAACACUAAAACUAAAUAAUCGAAUAUGGCUUUGCGGGUCGAUGAUGCCAGCAGCAAUGAGACUGCAAUUAUCACUUGUUUAGUUUCUGUGCUGGCCGUGGUUUACUUCGCAUGGAAUGUGAAAAAAUCAAGGAAAGCAAAUGCUACACUGCCACCAGGACCUCGCGGCUUGCCUGUAUUCGGAUACCUCCCAUUUCUUGGAACUACUGACUUGCACAAGAAAUUCACGGAAUUAUCCGGAGUUUAUGGUCCGAUCUUCAAGCUUUGGCUUGGAAAUAAAUUAUGUGUAGUGGUGAGCUCACCUUCCCUAAUUAGACAAGUGGUUCGUGAUCAAGAUACAACAUUCGCGAACCGUGACCCACCGAAGGCUGCACUAGUGGUCUCCUAUGGUGGCAAUGAUAUUGCAUGGUCCAAUUACGGUCCCGAAUGGAGAAAGUUGCGCAAAUUUUUUGUGGGCAAGAUGAUGAAUAACGCAAGCCUUGAUGCUUGUUAUGCUCUAAGAAGACAAGAGGUUAAAAAUACUAUCAGGGAUUUGUAUAACAACGACAACAAAAUUGGCAAGCCCAUUGACAUUGGUGAAUUGUCGUUUUCAACAUUGGUAUGUGCUAUACAGAACAUGCUGUGGGGUGAAGCGCUUGAAUUAAAAGAGAAAGGGACCACUAAUCUUAGGGCUGGGCUAAAAUUUAAGCUGGCAGAACUCAUGGUGCUUGCGGGAACACCGAAUAUUUCGGAUGUCUUUCCAAUGCUUUCAUGGCUUGACAUACAAGGUAUAGAGAGGAGAGCAAAGAAGAUUUCACUCUGGCUUGAUAAUGUUAUAAAUUCUACUGUUGAACAGCAUAGAAACAAGGAGUUAACUGUUGAAGGUGAAGAAAGAGCGGGGAAAAAUUUUGAAGGAUCAAGGAACAAGAACUUCUUGCAGUUACUAUUGGAGCUUCAAGAAAAUGAUGACAGUGCUUCCUCAAUUAGCAUGAACCAAUUCAAGGCCGUACUCGCGGUAUGUUAAGCAACUAGCCACGAACAGUUAUACAAGCACAAUUGUAUAUUUGCAUGAGUGAUAUUUUCAACCUUUUUUUUUAAUUAGAAUUUUAUUGUCACCUUUUGGACAGGAUAUAAUUACGGCUGGAACCGACACCACAACUACGAUGGUGGAAUGGACAAUGGCAGAGUUGAUGCAGCAUCCACAAGUAAUGAAGAAAGUUCAGGAAGAAUUAGCUCAAGUUGUGGGCAUGGACAGUUGUGUUGAAGAAUUUCACCUGUCUAGAUUAAUGUAUUUAGAUGCUGUGGUGAAGGAAACAUUUCGUCUGCAUCCUGCAGUGCCUUUAUUACUACCACGUAGGGCAAGCGAGAGUGGCAACAUUGGUGGCUAUACCAUUCCCAAAGAUACAACUCUUAUGUUGAAUGUUUGGGCUAUCCACAGGGACCCUCACCUUUGGGAUAAUCCCUUAGAAUUUCGACCCGAGAGGUUUCUGAAUGUUGGUAUCGAGAGUAAGUUCGAUUACUCAGGUAACAAUUUUCAGUACUUGCCAUUUGGUUCUGGUAGAAGGAUGUGUGCUGGGAUUCCUCUAGCUGAGAGGAUGCUGAUGUUUGUUUUGGCUUCGUUAUUGCACUCAUUCGAGUGGGAAUUGCCAACUGGCACAAAGCUAAACUUAUCAGAAAAAUUUGGGAUUGUCAUUAAGAAAAAAGAGCCUUUGGUUGCUAUUCCAACACCAAGACUAUCCAAUUCAGAGCUCUACCAUUAAGACCAAAUGGUUGUGAUGAUUUUGUUAAUUUCCGAAGAUUUGUAUGUUAUUUCAAGUUCAAUCGUAGUAAAAUAUUUCAAAUAAGAGUCCUCCGUUGCUUUUUUUUUUUUUUUUCAACGGCAUAAUCUGUGGUCAUGCUUGUAUUUGGAGCCACUUUAGAAAAAUUAUGUUUGAAUUACAAUUUAUAAAUAUUACAUUUUAAAAUAUUAUGAGGCUAAAUUUAUACACGUUCAAUAACCCGCUUCAUAUAUAUUUAACACAAUUUAUAUCAUACAUUGUACACCCAUUUAUCAUAAAUUACACUAUUUUGUAUCUCUAAAUAAUAUUACGUAUUGAUAUUAUAAAAUAUAUAUGGAAAAGAGAACAAAGAAGAUUUCUUAUGGUUUGAAAAUAUUAUGAAUUCUGCUGUUGAACAGUAUGGAAACAAGGUCUCUGUUGUUAAAGGUGAAGAAGCAACAGGGAACAAUAUUGAAGGAAGAAAUUUCACAUGUUUAGUUGCUGAAUUUGCCGCUGUAUUCUAUCGGUAGUAAAAAAAUUAGAGUUUUUAUUUUUCUCUAUUAAUGUUAAGUCAAUUUUCUAUAACAAAUUCGGUUGAGUUUAAUUGUGUUACAAUAUAAAUUGAAUGAUAAUAGAAUUUUCAACGAAUAUUUCAAUAUUUCUAUCUCGAUUGUUGAAGUGCCAUUUAUUUGUUAUGCGAUCGAUUUUAAAAUUUAUAAAAAUUAUUUGUUACUAAAUUGCAUCAUAUGCUAAAAUCACCUGAAACCUAAUUCCAUAACUAACCCUUUAUUUUUAGUUCUCAAGAAAUCUUGUAAGAACAAAAUUCUUUUAUAACAAAACUUUUACAACACAUUAAUUUGUAACUCAUUCCUGUGCGAGAAUCACUCUCAAAUUCCUUCAAUUGCUGUUGAACAAUCAUCUGCUUAUCAAAAUUCAAGCAUAAUCUUUUCUUUUUUUUAAUUUCUUCAUCAUUCUUUUGAAAAAAAAAAAUCAGGAUAUGCUGUUAAAAUUUUGAAAUAAAUUAUCUCAAAAUAAUUACUAACCAGAAAAAACAAAGGGGUUUAACUAGGUUAUGCAUACCUUUGAAAAUUAUAUGUUGAUCGAUAAGAAUGAUGAUCACGAUUGAGGAGUUUAAUUAAAAUAUAUAAGAUUUUAAAAUUAAUCAGGGUUAAAUUGUGAAUUUUAGAAAGAGAGGUUUUGUGAGAAUGCUGAAAGGGUGUUAAUAGUUCCACUCUUUUUAAAAGCAACCAUAGUCAUCAUUUUUCCCGAUUUCUUCUUCCCAUCUCCAUCUUAUUUAGAAAUUUCCCAGAGCCUUUGUUUCCCACCUUUCAUUGUUCUUCUUUCUAAUUUAAUACUAUAGGAUUACAAAAAUAAUUACUCACAUUUUAUCAAACACCUCCAUUCUACCAAGGCCUUGUUUUAGUAGUAGGCUUUUAUUAUCUCAAUAAAAUUGAAAAAACAAAUCUCAAUAAUAUUGGAAAAAAAAAACCUACCCAUAUUUGUAACUUUAAUUUAUUAUUCUCCAUAGACCUACUUUUUAGCUUUGAAUUUUGUUGGAGCCAUAUAUAAACAGAAUAUGUUGAAUCAGCACCAAAAAAAAAAAAAAAAAACUAAUUAUAUAAUUUCUGUUCCCAAGGACAUGACUGAUUGAUUUUCAAGAAGUUUUGUUUGGCUGGCUACUUAGGUUUAAAUCUUGGUGGAGAUUAGGGGUUAAGAAAUAAAUUUGGACUUUGCACACCCCUUUAACUUUUAAAAAGAAAUGAAAAAAACUAAUUAAUUAAUCUUUAUUUUAUUUAUUAAAUAUCAUAAUCCUAUGCGUAUUUUAUUUGUUAUCUUUCUAUUUAAAAGACAGGAGGGCAGAUAAAACUGAAAUAAAUUUUUAGCCCUAUCUCCAUCUUUCAAGUUCCAUAGUUAGGUGACCAGGUAAAGAAAAUUAAUUGAAAGCUACUCCAUCAAAUUAAAAAAUUUUAUUUAUUUAAUUUGUGGAGAUGUAGAAAAUCAAACCCCAUGCCUUUUCGCGUGGAAAAGUGUCAACCUGGUCUAGCUAUGUUGCAAAAGUGAACAUAUUUUAAUACAUGACUAUCAUCCUUUAUCCUAAAUACUACUAUAACUAAUAACAUACAAUUGAAAUAAUUAAUGUUAACACUUGGCUAUAAAUAAAGGUUUUGUGCUUGAAUCUUCACGCAUGACCUUCAUUCCUUUAUUUACUUUGCUAACACAGAUUUUGAGGCAUUAAAACUAAAUAAUAAUUGACUUUGUGGGCCGAGGAUGCCAGCAACAAGGAGACCACAAUUAUCACUUGUUAAGUUACUCUAAUUGCCGUUGUCUUAUAUUCAUAGAAUAUUAGUAAUAAGAUUAUUGUAGAAUUUUUUUAUAUUAAAAUUAAGUCAAUUUGUUAUAACAAAUUUAGUUGAGUUUAAUCGUGUUACCACAUAAAUUGAAUAAUAAUAAAAUUCUCGACAAAUAUUUCAAUAUUUUUAUCCCAAGCGUUGGAGUGGCAUUUAUUUGUUAUACGAUCAAUUUUAGAAUUUAUAAAAUUAUUCGUUACUGAAUUGCACCAUAUGCUGCAUGACCUGAAACUUAAUAAACGGAACGUAGCGUUGGCACCGUUACUCAACAUACUGUUACGACUUUGUGACAUUAGAAUUAAAAUCUUUUGCACAUUUAAUUUGUUUACUUCCAAAUUAAUAUUUAACAAAAUAUUUUUUCACAUUAUCAAUGGACAAAACUCCAACGAAAAUAACUACACAAGAAAAAUGUAUGCUAGUAUUGUGUGCCAUAUCAUCUGUAAUUUUGUCAGGAUCGAUCAUUCUAAUUUUUAAGCAGAACUUUUUAUCAAUGGACAAACACCUCACACAGCUUGUCAGAGGCAUUAUUAUGAUGGAAAACUGUAAUGGUAUAUCUUGAAUUAUUGGUAGAAUAGUUCUUUGGAGCAAUAAAAACAGAUAAGACAGAUGAGAAAAUUGUCAAUACCCCACCGCAAAAGCAAAAGAAAAAAAGGAAAGGAGACAAAAGAGGAAGAAGAAAAAGAAAAAAGAACGAAGAAAAAAAUGGUGCCGCGCGGUAUAGGCAAGAAGAAAAAAUAAUAAUAAAAUAAUAAAAUAAUAGUGCACAACAGUCAUUUGAUUGCUAUAAAUAAAGGGGCAUUUCCCUCAUUUUAUUCAUCGAAUUCUUCAGUUCCUAAGCGAUUUAAGAGUCUAGUGAUUUGAGAGUUUGGGUAUAGUAUAGUUUUGAGUAGUGAGUUAAAAUAUUACAAUACUUAUAACUUAUUUUUACUAAUAAAAUAUUUUUCUUCUAUCUUCACCCGUGGACGUAGGGUCAAAGCCGAAUCACAUAAUUUUUAGUAUCCCUAUGUGAUUAUGUAUCUCAUUAUUUUUCAAUUUUACUUUAGUUACGUGUCUGCUACAUCCUUCAAUUUACUAACAAAAAUGGCCAAAAUUAUAUAAGUGACCCAAAUUUUUUUGCUAUUUCCAAGAAAUCUCCAAUCUGAAUGGGCCAGACCAGAGGGAGGCAAGUUAGAAAUACGUUUCCUUCAUAGACAAUAACAGCGAUGAGUCGAUGACAUCGAGCCACGUCGGUAUCAAUAUUGAAUUAAAGGUGCAAUUAUUCAGCCAAUGAGCCUUACACAUCAAGAUAAAAGUCAAGAAAAUGAAUAUUUAUCCUAAUUAAAACACUUUCUGGCUGCAUUUAGUUGUUUCCAUUUGAAGUUAAAAGCAACGUUUCUUUCGUUUUGUGGGCAACUCGACUCAGUUAGCUGGCUUCUAGUGCUAGUAAGUGAAAAUAGAAGGCUAAUGAUUUAUUUGUUAUCUUUUGAUAAAAUUAUUAAAGAUAUAAUAGAUUUUUCAUGAUACAAAUAAAAAAUCACAUCAACAUAGCUUCCAAAGUACAACAGCUAAUGUUUACCAAACACUUUGUUGUAGCUUUUAAGCUACAGCUGCCCAACUUUAAUUUCAAAUGCACCCUUAAUAGGUUGAUUGAAUUUGUGGGAUAUAGAUUCCACAUAUCGUAUGACCUAGUAACUAUACAAGUGGUUCGUGAUCAAGACACAACAUUUGCUUCCGGCCCGGUGACCCAGCAAUCGCUGCAUUGGUCGCCACCUAUGGUGCCAACGAUAUUGCAUGGUCCAAUUGUGGCCUUGAAUGGAAAAAGUUGAGCAAAUUAUUUGUGGACACGAUGAUAAGUAACGCAAGCCUUGAUGCUAGUUAUGGUCCAAGAAAACAAGAGAUAUGCAUAACAACAAAAAGGAAAAAAAAAAAAAAAAAAAAAAAGGCAUUUGCAAGCCCAUUGAUAUUGGUGAAUUGUCGAUUUCAACUUUGGCAUGUGUAAUCCAGAGCCUGCGCGCUGUGGUGUGGCGCUGGCACGCUUGCAUUGACGAGGGGACAAGUCUUGGGGCUGAGCUAACAUUUAAGCUCGCAGAACUCAUGGUGCUAAUGGGAACACCAAAUAUUUUUUGACAUAUUUUGGUGCUUUCAUGGUUUAAUUCAAGGUAUAGAAAGGAGUGUUGAGAAUGUCAAAUAAAACGGUAUUGAAUGGAAGUUGUUAAAGACACGAUCCGCACCGAACGACAACAGCACGGUUGCUAAAAAUCCUUCCGUAAUAGGCAUAUCUAAUUUUUGAAAAAGUGUAACCUCUACAUUUAUAAAUAUACUCAAUGUAUAAUGUUUUACUUAAGAAAUGAAAAACUUGUUUGUUCAAGGAGAAUAAAGAAAAAUUUUCUAUGAUUUUUCUAUGGUUUGAACAAAGAAGGUUUUAACGAGUAUUAUAGACCUCGAUUGAAUGUUCGAAUGUAUAAUAAAAGAGAAACUGUCACAUAAAUGACAAAGAUACUUGAAAAAAAAAAAAAAGGGCAGCAAUAGAGAAUUAGAUCCGACUGUACAAAUAACUAGUUAAUUCAUCGAUACAUCAUUUUCUUGCUAGAAAAUGACAAUUAUGACAGCAAGCCACGAUAGUGUCAAUAUUGAAAUUGAUUUGCAAUUAUUCAGCCUAUGAGCCUUACACGUCAAGAUAAAAGUCAAGAAAAUGAAAGUUAAUAUCAAUUAAAACACUUCCAUUUCUAUGUGAAGUUAAAAAACAACGUUUCUUUUGUUUUGUGGGGGAUUCAACUGAGCACGCGCCACUAGCUAGCUGGCUUCUAGUUCUAGCAUAUGAAAACAGAAUUCUAAAGAUUUCACUUUCACCUUUUUUCUUUUUUUGGGGUUUUGAAUCAAAGUCAAGGUCGCACUGAAUAAUAUGUAAAAUUUGAAAAAGAAGAAUUAAUAGAGAACAAAGUUUUGUUUUAAAUUCACAUGGUGUGCAUACAAUUCAACAAACACUUCCUAUAAUAAAUCUGGAGUUGUAUCCCACGUUGAACAAUAAAGGAAAGUCACCUAAAUAUACAUGUAGGAUAAGUUACUUUAUUUAGUAAGUUUGUAUUUUCUUCUUUCUUCUAGUUUACAUAUAAAUUUGAUUAGAUAACUUAACACAUAUUUUAAUACUUGAUCAGAAGCCCGACGUACAGGUGGAUCUAGAAACUUGAUUUCUAAGAGUAAUACUAUAAUAAAAAAAUAAUGAUUCAUAGAACCAAUAUCAAAAUUUGUUUACAAGAUUGCCCCCACUCAAAGGUAAUUUUCAUAGAAAUUAAUAGGAAAUUUAAUUGUUAGUGGGGUCAAAUUGCCCCCACACUCUGAAUGUAGAUCCACGCCCGACCCUGAGUCAAGUAUAUUUUGCCACAUAUACUCUGAAUGUCGGCAGGAAAAAUCUUCCACUUUAGUUAAAAAUUUUCACUUAAAAAAUAUUUAUGUUAAUAAAGUUCGUAAAGGAAAUGAGUUUAAUUAAUGAAUAUUAUAGGAGAAAUUAAAGGAAAUGAGUUUAAUUAAAGAAUAUUAUAGGAGAAAUUCUAUUGUUCGGCUUUUAAUAAAUUAAUUAAUAGGUUUAAAAGAUUAAUAUACAUCAAAAUAUUAUUAGUUGGUGGGGGUUCCACAUCGGACUAAUACGUGUCACCUUACUUGUGAGAUUAAGACAAUCGACUUAGACUAUUUAAAUAUGUUUGAAGCUUAGAUGGCACCGCUUCAAUUUGCAUUACUGAAUGUCAUUCUUUAUCCUAAUUACUACCGUAAUUGAUAACAUGCAAUUGAAGUAACUAAUAUUAGCACUUGGCUAUAAAUGAACUAAAGGCCGUGCAAUUGAAUCUUUACUUGAUCACUUCACUCCUUUAUUUUGCUAACACAGAUUUUGAGAUAUUAAAACGAAAUAAUAAUUGAAUCUGGCUUUGUGGGUCGAUGAUGCUAGCAAAAACGAGACCACAAUUAUCACUUGUUUAUUUGCUGUAUUUGACGUUGUUUCAUAUUGGUAGUAAUAGGGUCAGUUUUUAAUCUUUUUAUAUUAAAGUUAAGUCAAUUUGUUAUCAAAAAAAAAAAUUGGUUGAGUUUAAUUAUAUUGCUAUGUACAUUAAAUAAUUAUAAUAUUCUUGAGGGAAAAAGACACCUAGAACCUCAAGGUUUGGGGAAAUGGUCACAAAGACUCCUAAGUUUUAAAAAAGGAACACUAAGAUCUUUUUUUACCCAUAAUACCCUUUGACUAGAGUAAUUAAAAAAUUGACUUUAAAGGUUUUUAAAUAAUUCUAAUUUAAUAUAAAUCAUAUAAUCUAUCUAGUAAACUAAUAAUAUUAAAUUAUUUUUUAUAUUUAAAAUAAUGUUAAAUUUUAAAUUAUUAUAUUUAUAAAAUUAUAAAGAUUUUAAAUAAAUAUUUGGAUUGAAUAUAUUUUACAAUUAAAAGUCUUCCUAUUAAUAAUAUUAAAAUUUAAUUUUACAAAAUAUAUAUUCAAAAUAUUUUUAAUUUUAAUUUAUUUAUUUUAAUAUUAUGUUUCUACCUAUUAUUAAAAAUUACUUUAAUAUAAUAAAAUAGGUCUAAUAGAUUGAAAAAUAUGAAAAUAUUUUUAAAAUUUUAAAUUAUUUUGAAAUGUAUAUAUUAUUACAUUUAUUUCAAUGUCAUAUUUUCAUUUAUUAUAAAAUUUUGGGGUUAUUUUUUUGGGAAUUUAUAGAGUCAAAGAGCAUUAUAAUUUAAUCCAUGCACAAUAUCUAUAAUUAUAUCGGUUGUCGGCUGAUUUCGUGGAGGGGGCGGCAGUUCAAAAUUUUUACGUGCAUGUUGGAUGGACGUCUCUAUUAAAGGAGAGCCACCACUUGCAUGGUAAUUUUUUUAAAUAAAUAUAUACAUUUCAAAACAUUAUUUUCUUGUUGUAUAGUUAACAUGUCACCUUAGAUGUAUUUUAGAGCUUCUCCUAUUAAAGAUAAUCUCAUGCAGUGUUACAGAGUAUGGUAAUAUGGUAUAGAUGAGAGCAUCUGAUUAAAUGAAGCAGCUGGUAAUGCUUACGUGUGUGAGUUAGUUAUCCAGCUCAGCAGCAAAGCAAACGAAAUGAAUUGCAUGCAUAUUAGAUCCAACAAACUGGUAAACUCUAGAUUCUUCUUUCAUUUAGUAUAAAUACCAAGUUGUUAUCAUUUGCUAAAUAUAUAAUAAGAUGAUCAUUUUCAGAUCUUUCCUUUAUAAUUUUCUAUAACUUUCUCGUUAGUUUCUCUUGAACCAAACACUUUGUACGAACUCUUUCGUGCAGUGAUACUUCUCGUGAUCUAAUCAUUAGUAGAAUCUAUAAUUUCGCUACUGUAAUAAAAUCUGUCACUACCCUAUAUGAAUGUAGAUAUUUGACGCGAUUUGUAAUUGCUUCCGACAGGAAAACAGCAAUAGUUUUAUUGAAAUUUGUGGUAUAGAUUCCACGAAUCUUAUGACAGAAUACUGACCACUCCAACCCUAUCCGCAUUUACACGAUUAAUACACAAGCUUAGAUGUGACAAUGCAUUUGUCACUCAUUCAAAUUCAUCCUGAAACACUAUACACUAAAUAAUCGAAUAUGGCUUCGUGGGUCGAUGAUGCUAGCAGCAACGAGACUGCAAUUAUCACUUGUUUUGUUGCUGUACUUGUCGUGGUCUAUUUCGCAUGGAAUGUAAACAAAUCAAGUAAAGCAAAUGCUAAAUUGCCACCAGGACCUCGGGGCUUGCCAGUAGUCCGAUACCUCCCAUUUCUUGGAACUACUGACUUACACAAGACAUUCACGGAGUUAUCUGGAGUUUAUGGUCCGAUCUUCAAGAUUUGGCUUGGGAAUAAAUUGUGUGUAGUGGUGACCUCGCCUACCCUAGUUAAACAAGUGGUCCGUGAUCAAGAUAUAACAUUCUCAAACCGCGACCCACCGAUCGCUGGAACUGUGACCACCUACGGUGGCAAUGAUAUUGCACUUUCCAAUUACGGUCCCGAAUGGAAAAAGUUGCGAAAAUUAUUUGUGAGCAAGAUGAUGAGUAAUGAGACCCUUGAUGCUUGUUAUGCUCUAAGAAAACAAGAGGUUAAAAAUACUAUCAGGGAUUUGUAUAACAACAAUAAGGAUAAUAUUGGCAAUGGCAAUGGCAAGCCCAUUGACGUUGGUGAAUUGUCGAUUUCAACUUUGGUACGUGUUAUGCAGAACAUGCUGUGGGGUCAAGCAUUGGAAACAAGAGAGAAAGAGAUUACUAAUCUCGGGGCUAAUCUUGCAGAACUCAUGGUGCUACUGGGAACACCAAAUAUUUCGGAUAUUUUUCCAGUGCUUUCAUGGCUUGACAUGCAAGGUAUAGAGAGAAGAGCUAAGAAGAUUUCUCUAUGGUUUGAAAAUAUUAUCAAUUCUGGUGUUGAACAGUAUAGAAACAAGUUCUCUGUUGUUAAAGGUGAAGAAGCUGCAGCACGAAAAAAUAUUGAACGAUCAAGAAAUAAGGACUUCUUGCAGUUGCUGUUGGAGCUUCAGGAAAAUGAAGAUAGUGCUUCAUCUAUUAGCAUGAACCAACUAAAGGCCGUGCUCGUGGUAUGUUAAGCAACUAGACACAAAAAGUUGUAAAAGCACAGCGAUAUAUUUGCGCGAGGCCCCGAGUGAUGUUUUGCCUCGAGAACUCUCAAUUUUAUCUUACGGUAAAAAAUGUUUUUCAACUUUUUUUUUUAAUUAGAAUUUUAUUGCAAUUUAUUUAACAGGACAUAAUUGUGGCCGGAACCGACACCACAACUACGAUGGUGGAAUGGACAAUGGCAGAGUUGAUGCAACAUCCACAAGUAAUGAAGAAAGUUCAAGAAGAAUUCGCUCAAGCUGUGGGCAUGGACAGUUGUGUUGAAGAAUAUCACUUGCCUAAAUUAAAGUAUUUAGAUGCUGUGGUGAAAGAAACAUUUCGUUUGCAUCCUGCGUUGCCCUUAUUGGUACCUCGCACGGCAAGCAAGAAUAGCAACAUUGGUGGCUAUACCAUUCCCAACGACACUAAUCUUAUGUUGAAUGUUUGGGCUAUCCACAGGGACCCUCAACUUUGGGAUAAUCCCUUAGAAUUUCGACCUGAGAGGUUCUUGAAUGAUGGUAUCAUAAGCAAUUUCAAUUACUCGGGUAACAAUUUUCAGUACUUGCCAUUUGGUUCUGGUAGAAGGAUGUGCGCUGGGAUUGCUCUAGCUGAGAGGAUGUUGAUGCUUGUUCUGGCUUCGUUGUUGCACUUGUUUGAGUGGAAAUUGCCCUCGGGCACAAAGCUAGACUUAUCUGAAAAGUAUGGGAUUGUCAUGCGGAAAAAAGAGCCUCUAAUUGCUAUUCCAACACCAAGGCUACCAAAUUCAGAUCUCUACCAGUAAGAUCAAAAUGGUUUUGAUAAUAUUAUUUCCCAUUGUAUUGGAUUUGAAGUUCAAUCAUAAUAAAAUAUUUUAAUAAAAUGUCCUCGGUUGCUAAUUUUUCAAUAGUAUAAUCUGCACCUGUCUUUUAUAGCAAUUUGGUCUAAUUUAUUUUUGAAUUAAAAUCCAUAAAUAUUUAUAUUUUUUUAAUUAUAUUAGGAAUUAUGUGGGGUGUAUGGUCUGAUCUUCGAGCUAUGCCUUGAAAACAAAUUAUGCAUAGUCGUGCACACGCUUUCCCUAAUUAAGUUUGUGGUUCGUGCUCAAGGCACAGCAUUCACCCCCCGCGACCCAACAAUCGCUACAUUGUUCCCCACCUAAAGUGCCAACAUAUUGCAUAAGUAACGCAAAAUAUGGUCCCCAAUGGAAAACGUUGCGCAAAUUAUUUCUGGGCAAGAUGAUAAGUAACGCAAGCCUUGAUGCUUGUUAUGGUCUAAGAAAACAAGAGGUUAAAAAUACUAUCAGAGACAUAUAUAAAACAACAACAGAAAAAAUUGGCAUUAUCAUCGAUAAUGGUGAGUUGUGGAUUUCAACUUUGGUAUGUUUAAUUCAGAACCCGCAGUGGGGUGGCGCUAGCACGCCUGCGUUAGGAGACGAGGGGACCAAUCUUGGGGCCGAGCUAAAAUAUAGGCUUGUAGAGCUCAUGCUGCUAAUGGUAAUGGGAACACCUACUAUUUCGGAUACUUUUCCGAUGCUGGUUUAAUUCAUGGUUUAGAAAGGAGAACAAAGAAGAUUUUUCGAUGCUUUGAAAAUAUUAUAAUUUUUAUAAAAUCUCUUAUUGAUAACUAAACAACUAAAAUUUCUGUAAAGUUUUUGUGGACUUUUGAUCUCCUAUGGUGCCAAUAUUUUCGACUAAUUUUUUCCUUCAAUUAAUGAUGUUGGUUGAGAAAGACUAUUUUUCUUGCAAUAAUAUAGUAUUCGUGGUCCUAUUAGGGUUCCGAAUGGAGAAAGUUGCACUAAGUUUUUUGAGUACCAAAUGAUGAGUAAUGUACGUAAGCCUUGAUGGUAGUUAUGGUCUAAGAAAACAAGAGGUUAAAAAUACUAUCUGGGAUUUGUACAACAAUAACAAAAUUGGCAAGCCCAUUGACAUUGGUGAAUUGUCAGUUUCAACCUUGGUAAGUGUUUUCAGAACAUGCUGUGGGGUGAAGCGCUUGGAAUAAGAAAGAAACGGAUGACGAAUAUUGGGGCUGAGCUUAGAUUUAAACUUGCAGAACUCAUGGUGCUGUCAGGAACACCGAAUAUUUCGGAUAUCUUUCCAGUGCUUUCAUGGUUUGAUAUACAAGGUUUUGAGAGAAUAGCAAAGAAGAUUUCUCUAUGGUUUUAAAAUAUUAUCAAUUCUACUGUUGAACGCUAUAGAAACAAGGUCUCAGUUGUUAAAAGUGAAGAAGAAGACGCAGCAGCAGCAGCAGCAGGGAACAACAUUGAAGGAAGGAAUAAGGACCUGGUGCAGUUACUCUUGGAGCUUCAAGGUAAAGAAGAAAAUGCUUCAUCAAUUAACAUGACGCAAUUUAAGAGCUUGCUCGUGGUAUGUUUGCGCAACUAGCCACAGACAGUUACAGAAACUGAGUUUGGCAGAUUACGACCGUUUCUGGUGAUUAUAUAACUAUUUGUGGCUGUUUUUUGUUUUUUUUUUCUUUUAAUUGGAAUUUUAUUGUAAAUUUCUUAACAGGAUAUAAUUUAGGGUGGAACCAACACCACAACUAUAAUGGUGGAAUGGACAAUGGCAUAAUUGAUACAGCAUCCACAAGUAAUGGAGAAUGUAAAGGUAGAACUAAGUCGGGCCGUGGCCAUUGACAGCCAUGUUGAAGAAUUUCACCUACCUAAGUUAAAAUAUUUAGAUGUUGUGGUGAAAGAAACAUUCCGCACGAUAAUAUAAUAUAUGAAUCAUAUAUCCUCUAUUGGUUUUUUGCUCCUUUUUUUUUCAAUAGCUUAAUCUAUCAUUAAAAUCUUCUGAAAUUCUAAAUUAAUAUACAUUCAACCUAGAGUUCAACCCAAAGUUUUAUUGAGCAUUAAAAAAAAAAAUUCUACGACUAAAAAUUUUACAGAGUAUAAAUUAAAAAUUAUGCGCCUACUAACAGACAAAAAACAAUUGAUACACAUUCACCAAUCAAAGGCAAACAAGAGAUUAUUAACAAUAACUUAAUAAUAAAAUUAUAAGGAAUCAAAUAGAAAUGGUACCUAGAAACACAUCACGCCAUUUAAUCAAUCACUUACCCAUAAAAUCCAAACUUAUAAACUAUUAAGGGGGGGAAAUGGAUACCUUUGGGUUUCAUUAAAUCAAAAUUACAACACCAUUAAAUACUCAAAAAUGAAAAAAAAAAAAUCAUACCCAAUAAAAGAGAAAAAAAUAACCCACAAAAAAAAUCAUCAAGAAAAUAAAUUUGAGACUAAGAGAAGAUAUUAAUUAACGCCUGGGUUGCAUUGGAACCACGGCUUUGGCUUCCAUUUUUCAAUUCUUGGUCACAAGUGAUUUCUUGUUUGUUUGCAAUGAUGACGGUUGAUUAAUGAAGCUCUAUUAACAAUGAAUGAAUCAAAAAACUUGAGCCUUGAAAAGACUAACGGUCAUAUUUUUCAACUCCGAAUUAGUGGCGUUUGAUGAGUCCUUGCCAAAACAAUCACUCGGCAGAUAACGAUCAUUUUUCAACCAGCAAAACUCAUUCAUUGUUUUUCACCUUAGUGAAGAUUUAAAAAUUGUUUCAAAAUAGGAUUCUUAAAAAAAUAAUAAUAAAAUGAUAUUUAACUUAAUUCUAACUUAGGAAAACAAAAUAUCUACACUCCCAAAGUUUGGAGAAAUGGUCAUUAAUAUCCCCAACUUUCCAAAAAGAGACACCAAGAACCCUUUUAACCAUAAUACUAUUUACUUCUAUUAUCCCAAAAAACAAUUGACUCUAAUAUUUUAUAAUAAAUAAAAAUAUAACAUUAAAAUAAAUGUAAUAGUAUAUACAUUUUAAAAUAGUUUCAAUAUUUAAAAAGCAUUUUAAUAUUUUUAAAUUCUAUUUUAUAUAUAUUGAUUAUUUUAAAGUAAAUUUUAUAAUAAAUAGAAUCAUAAUAUUAAAAUAAAUGCAUUAAAAUUUAAAUUAUUUUGAAUAUUAUGUAAAAUAAUAAUUUUAACAUUAUUAGUAUAUGAGAAUUUUUUUAAUUGUAGAAUGCAUUUAAUGCAAAUAUUUAUUUAAAAUCUCUACAAUAAAUAAAAAUAUACUAUUAAAACAAAACUCUACAAUACAUACAUACAUACAUAUACAUUGGCCUGGUAUUUUUAUUUUUCAUUUUUAAACUUAUUAAAUCCUCUAACUAUCAUUUGAUUUUUUUUUUUUUUCAAUGAUCAAGAGGUCAUUGCCGGAUAAAUGAUUAAAAUCAACUAGUUCUACAAGAAUAUCUCUUUUUAAAGGAAGAUGAUUCUCUCUCUCGAAAUUUUUUUAUCUCGUGCUACAAACUAAAAACUUAUGCCACUUCAUUAACCACAAAGAUCUUUGAGGAAAUGAUGCUUCCCUCCCCCCCCCCCCCCCCCCCCCUCCCACAAAAAAAAAAAAGAGUCCUUCCAUAUUGUGUGAAGGCUAAUAUAUCGAUGAAUCUAGAUUUCUUUAAAUUUUUUGUUUUACUCAAUUCGAGAUAAUAAUUCAAUCCAUGCAAAUAUCUAUCAUUGUAUGAGCUGACCAGUUAAUAGGUUGAUUGAAUAUAUGUGGUAAAGAUUCCACGUAUCUCAUGACAGAAUGCUGACCACUGGAACCCUAUCUACUUUUACGCGAUUAAUUCACGAGCUUAGGCACAACAAUUGCAAUACAAAUUAUCCCCUCAUCGUAUAUUUCGUUAAAAUUCAUUCUGAAGCAGUAAAACUAAACAAUCGAAUAUGGCUUUGCGGGUCGAUGAUGCCAGCAGCAAUGAGAGUGCAAUUAUCACUUGUUUAGUUUCUGUGCUUGCCGUGGCUUAUUUCGCAUGGAAUGUGAAAAAAUCAAGGAAAGCAAAUGCUAAACUGCCACCAGGAACUCGCGGCUUGCCUGUAGUCGGAUACCUCCCAUUUCUCGGGACUACUGACUUGCACAAGAAAUUCACGGAAUUUAUUUUACUAUUAUAUUUAUAUUCAAAAUAAUUUUAAUUAGCUUUUAAAAUGAAUGAUUUUAGGAAAUUAUAAAUAAAGGUAACUAAGAAUUCUCUUAAUGCAAUAUAUUAUUAAUUAGUUUAAAAAUACAAAUUUAUUAAUUAGAGAAAUUAUUAGUGAAUUUAAAUUAAUGAUCUUAAUGAUUUGUUUGUACGAUUGCCCCCAAUCAAAGGUAAUUUUCCUAAAAAUUAUUAGGAAAUUAGAGAAAUUUAAUUUUUUUUAGUGGGUUCAAUUGCCCACACACCCCGACUGAAGCAUUUUUUACAAUAUGUACUCCGUUUGUCGGCAGGAAAAUAAAGGUCUUGACACAUGAUCACUUCAUUCCUUUAUUUACUUUGCGAACGCAGAUUUUGAGGUAUUAAAACAAAUAAUAAUUGAAUAUGACUUUGUGGGUCGACGACGCCAGCAACGAGGAGACCGCCAAUUAUCACAUUUUAAGUUUGCUGUAAUUGCCAUUGUUUUAUAUUAGUAGAAUAUUAGUGAUAAGAUAAUUGUAGAGUUUUCAUUUUUUUAAUAUUAAAAUCAAGUCAAUUUAUUAUAAUAAAUUUAGUUGAAUUUAAUCGUAUUACCACAUAAAUUGAAUAAUAAUAGAAUUCUCCACAAAUAUUUCAAUAUUUUAAUCUCAAGCAUUGGAGUGGCAUUUAUUUGUUAUGCGGUCGAUUUUAGAAUUUUUAAAAUUAUUCGUUACUGAAUUGCACCAUAUGCUGCAUCACCUGGAACUUACUAAACGGAACGUAGCGUUGGCACCGUUACCAACAUUCACUGUUACGACUUUGUGACAUUAGAAUUAAAAUCUUUUCCACAUCUAAUUUGUUUACUUCCAAAUUAAUAUUUAACAAAAUAUUUUUUCACAUUAUCAAUGGACAAAACUCCAACGAAAAUAACUAUACAAGAAAAAUGUAUGCUAGAAUUGUAUGCCAUAUCAUCUGUAAUUUUGUCAGGAUCGAUCAUUCUAAUUUUGAAGCAGAACUUUUUAUCAAUGGACAAACACCUCACACAGCUUGUCAGAGGCAUUAUUAUGAUGUAAGAUUGUAAUGGUAUAUCUUGAAUUAUUGGUAGAAUAGUGAAUAACUAUUUGGAGCAAUAAAAACAAAUAAGACAGAUGAGAAAAUGGCUAAAAUUAUAUAAGUGACCCAAAUUGUUUUGCUAUUUCCAAGAAAUCCCCAAUCUGAAUGGACCAGCCAGAGGGAGGCAAGUUAGAAAUAUGUUUCCUUCAUAGACAAUAACAACGAUGAGUCGAUGACAUCAAGCCACGUCGGUAUCAAUAUUGAAAUAAAGGUGCAAUUAUUCAGCCAAUGAGCCUUACACAUCGAGAUAAAAGUCAAGAAAAUGAAAAUUUAUCCCAAUUAAAACACUUUCUGGCUGCAUUUAGCUGUUUCCAUUUGAAGUUAAAAACAACGUUUCUUUCGUUUUGUGGGCGACUCGACUGAGCUAGCUGGCUUCUAGUGCUGGUAAGUGAAAAUAGAAGGCUAAUGAUUUCACUUUCACAUUUUUCUUUUCCUUUUUUGGGAAUCAAAGUCAAGGUCAAGAAGAAUAAAUGGAGAAUUCGGAAAAAUGGGUGCAUAAUGUGAUCCAUUCAUGAAGAAGAGUACGUGAGCGUCGGGCAACAGUAUUUUUACCUAUUAAGCUCCAGUUUAAUUUUGUUGUAGGAAAACAAAAUUUUGUUUUCAAUUCACAUCGUGUGCAUCCAAUUCAACAAACACUUUGUAAUAAUUAAUGUUGAGUUGUAUCCUACGUUAAGGAGAGUUACUUAAAUUUAUAAAUAGGAUAAAUUACUCUAUUUAAUAAGUUAAUGUUUUCUUCUUUCUUCUAGAUUACAUAUAAAUUUAGUCAGAUAACCUAACACAUAUUUUAAUACUCGAUCAGAAGCCCUAAGCAGUGGUGGAUCCAAUAAAUUGAUUUAUAUGGUGUAAUAAUGUAAUAAAAAAAUGGUGAUUCAUAAAAUUGACCCAAUAUCAAAAUUUGUUUGCAAGAUUACUCCCCACUCAAAGGUAAUUUUCCUAAAAAUUAAUAGGAAAUUUAAUUGUCAUUGGGAUCAAAUUGCCCCCACACUCUUGAAUGUAGAUCCUCCCCUGGCCUUGAGUCAAGUAUUUUUUCCAAUAUAUACUCCGAAUGUCGGCAGGAACAACCUUCCACUUUAAUUUAAAAUUUUUACUUGAAAAAUUAAUUAAUGUUAAUAAAGUUCGUAAGAGAAAUGAGUUUAAUAAAAGAAAAUUAUAGGAGAAAUUCUAAUGUUUGUCUUUUAAUAAAUUAGUUUAUAAGUUUAAAAAGUUAACAUAUAUCAAAAUAUUAUUGAUUGGUGGUGGUUUCACGUCAGAUUAAGACGUGACACUUUACUUGUGAGACUGAGACAAUCAGCUUAGACUACUUCAAUAGGUUUGAAGCGUAGGCGGCACCCAUUCAAUUUGCACCAAUGUCUAUCAUUCUUUGUCCUAAUUACUACGAUAAUUAAUAACAUGCAAUUGAAAUUAUUAAUGUUAGUACUUGCCUAUAAAUAAAGGUAUUGUACUUGAAUCUUCAUAGAUGAUCACUUCAUUCCUUUAUUUACUUUGGUAACACAGAUUUUGAGAGACAUUAAAACUAAAGAAUAAUUGAAUAUGGCUUUGUGGGUUGAUGAUGCCAGCUCCAACGUGAGUGCAAUUAUCGCAUGUUUAAUUGCUCUAUUAGCCGUGGUCUAUUUCGUGUGGACAAGGAAAACAAAUGCUAAACUUCCACCAGGACCUCGCGGCUUGCCUGUAAUCGGAUACCUCCCUUUUCUCGGAACUACUGACUUGCACAAGACAUUCACGGAAUUAGCUGGUGUGUAUGGUCCAAUCUUCAAGCUCUGGCUUGGCAACAAAUUGUGUGUAGUGGUGAGCUCGCCUUCCCUAGUUAAACAAGUGGUUCGUGAUCAAGAUAUAACAUUCGCUAACCGCGACCCACCGAUCGCUGGACUCGUGGCCUCCUUUGGUGGCAAUGAUAUUUUAUUUUCCAAUUAUGGUCCUGAAUGGAGAAAGUUGCGCAAAUUAUUUGUGGGCAAGUUGAUGAGUAACGCAAGUCUUGACGCUUGUUAUGCUCUAAGAAAACAAGAGGUUAAAAAUAUAAUCAGGGAUUUGUAUAAUAACAACAAAACUGGCAAGCCCAUAGAUGUUGGUGAGUUGUCGAUCUCAACUUUUGUAUGUGUUAUACAGAACAUGCUAUGGGGUGAAGCUCUUGAAUUAAGAGAGAAAGGGAUCAGUAACCUUGGGGCUGAGCUAAAGUUUAAGCUAGCAGAACUCGUGGUGCUAAUGGGAACACCGAAUAUUUCGGAUAUCAUUCCGUGCUUUCAUGGCUUGAUAUACAAGGUAUAGAGAAGAGAACAAAGAAGAUUUCUCUAUGGUUUGCACAAGCACAGCUGUAUUAGUUAUGUGUUUUAACUUUAUUUUAAUUAGACUUUUAUUGUUAUCGUUUUAACAGGACAUAAUUUCUGGUGGAAACGACACAACAACUACAACGGUGGAAUGGACAAUGACAGAGUUGAUGCACAAUCCACGAGUAAUGAAGAAGGUUCAAGAGGAAUUAGCUCAAGUUGUGGCCAUGGACAGCUGUGUUGAAGAAUUUCACUUGCCCAAAUUAAAGUACUUAGAUGCUGUGGUGAAAGAAACAUUUCGGCUGCAUUCUGUGCCCUAUUUAGUACCACGUAGGGCAAGCCAAAGUAGCAGCAUUGGUGGCUAUACUGUUCCUAAAGAUACAACGAUUAUAUUGAAUGUUUGGGCAAUCCACAGAGAUCCUCAAAUUUGGGAUAACCCCUUAGAAUUUGGACCAGAGAAGUUUUUGAAUGAUGGUAUUGCGAGCAAAUUUGAUUACUCGGGUAACAAUUUUCAGUACUUGCCGUUUGGUUCUGGCAGAAGGAUGUGUGCAGGGAUUGCUCUGGCAGAGAGGAUGCUGAUGUUUGUUCUGGCUUCACUGCUGCACUCAUUUGAUUGGAAAUUACAGGCAGGCACAAAGCUAGACUUAUCUGAAAAGUUUGGGAUUUUGAUUAAGAAAAAGGAGCCUUAGGUUGCUAUUCCAACACCAAGACUACCCAAUUCAGAGCUCUACCAAUAAGACAAAUGGUUGUGAUGGUAUUGUAUCCCCACUGUAUUGGAAGAUUUGUAUGUUAUUUCAAGUUCAAUCAUAAUAAGCAUAUUAAUAAAUGUCUUCAGGUUGUUAUUUUUUCGCUGGCCCAAUCGAUCAUCAUACUCGUGUUUUCGAGCUAUUUAUUUAUUUUUGAAUUGCAAUCUGAAAUAUAUGUACUUUAAAUUUCUUACAAGAUUUUAAAUUUAUAUACAUCUACAACCCAAAAUCUCCCAAAAAAUCUAAAAUUCAAAAAUUUACAAAGCAUAGACCAAAAUUUUUAUACCAACUAAUUUUUUGAUCAAUUCUACACUUUCUAAAAGGAGAGACGUUUACUCCAAUAUUUGGACUACAAUUAUAUCUAAGCUUAGGUGCCAAAUAAUAAAUUUAUAAGUAAAUUGGAUUUUGAACAUGGAGAGAGUUCUAAAACAACUUGCUUAAAGCAAAUGAACUGUCCAAUUAAUUCAAUUUUUCAAAAACAAAUCUUUAAACAUUCAACGGACAUUUUCACAAGCUUCUGGAAGGCACAAUCUAAAACCCAACAAAGAAUUCAAAAAAUCUUUGAACUUCUCACAAGCUUCUUGGAGAGAUGCGACGGCGCUGCUUUGGUAACUCAGAAGGCUCAGAGAUCUUUGAGGAAAUCAUGGUUCGCUUUCUUUUUUAUCUUUCCUCCUAAUCCUUGCAAAUUGUGUGAAGGCCAAUAAAUCCAUGAAUCUAAAUCUCUGUAAAUUUCUUUUUUCCCAAAUUUAGAUAAUUAUUUACUCCAUGCACAAUAUAUAUCACUGUAUCAGCUGUUCUUUUUUUUUUUUUUUGGAUGGGGCGGCAGUUUAGAAGAGCUGGAGGGUGUUCUUGACAGAGCUCAAAUUUUUUGUGUGCUCGUUGGGUGGAUAUAUCAAUCAAAGAUAUCCCAUACAGUGACAUCUGUCGUGAUCAAAUUAUUAGUUGAUCAAUGAUUUCGACAUCUGUUUACUGUAAUAAAAUUUGUCACUAUACAUUGAUGAAAGUGUUUGAUGUGAUUUUCUAACUGCUACCGACGGGAAACAGUUAAUAGGUUGAUUGAAUUUGUGGGAUAUAGAUUCCACAUAUCGCAUGACAGGAUCCUGACCACUCGAAUCUUAUCUACAUUUACACGAUUAAUACACCAGCUUAGCUGUGACAGUGCCAUUACAAAUUAUCCUCUCAUCAUUUGUCUUGUUAAAAUUCAUUCUGAAACACUGAGACUAAAUAUACGAAAAUGGCUUUGUGGGUCGAUGAUGCGAGCCGGAAAGAGACUGUAAUUAUCACUUGUUUAGUUGCUGUACUCGCCGUGGUCUAUUUCGCAUGGAAUGUGAACAAAUCAAGUAAAGCAAAUGCUAAACUGCCGCCGGGACCUCGUGGUUUGCCUGUAGUCGGAUACCUCGCAUUUCUCGGAACUACUGACUUGCACAAGACAUUCACCGAUUUAUCUGGAGUCUAUGGUCCGAUCUUCAAGCUCUGCUUUGGAAACAAACUGUGUGUAGUGGUGAGCUCGCCUUCCCUAGUUAAACAAGUGGUCCAUGAUCAAGAUCUAACAUUCUCUAACCGCAGCCCAUCGAUCGCUGGACUUGUUACCACCUAUGGUGGCAAUGAUAUUGCACUUUCCAAUUAUGGUCCAGAAUGGAGAAAGUUGCGCAAAUUAUUUGUGAGCAAGUUGAUGAGUAACUCAAGCCUUGACGCUUGUUAUGCUCUAAGAAAACAAGAGGUUAAAAAUACUAUCAGGGAUUUGUAUAACAGCG
rnacentral:lncRNA from 1 species